rnacentral:lncRNA from 1 species
CCAGUGCUCCUGAUCACCAUGCAUUUCUUCCAGGUCGUCAUGGCGUGGAUUUUCCCGUGCGCCGUGUGGGCGGCGAUGGCGCCGGCCGUGGCGACGGCAGCGACCACGGACGGCGCUUCGAGCGUUGAGCAGGGCAGCUCCUCGUCGCCGGCGUUCGGCCCUGGCGACGCUAAGGUGGCCUCCGACCCGGGCUCCUCCCCGGCGUCGAGGUCGUCCACCUCCUCCUCCUUGCUCGGUUCCCCACUUUAGAGAUGUAUUUUUUUUGCGUGCGAGCAAACAGUGGGUUGAUUCUAAAAGGGAUAGGCACUUUUCAACAGAAGUGCAUGACGGACCAAAAAUAUGACCUCAUUUUAUUCGUUUGAUAGAUAUCGUAUUAUUCGUUGUUGUUCUUUCGGUGAAAUUUCCUAAUAUUUGAUUGUUGUGUUUCUAAUUAGAGCACCCCAUAAUCAUCCAAUAUGAGGGGAUGAUAAAUGAAAGAUACUGAUUAUAAAUUUUGAAGAGCCCGUGGCAACGCACGGGCGUUAUGCUAGUAUACGUAGGGUCCGACUUGGGUCUGCCCGCGACGGUUGGGUCGCACUGCCAUGGCCGGAGUUCGAGCCUCCCGGCGACGUUAGGGUCAAACUGGUUGGCAGCAGGUCAGAUCCAUCGGGCAGCGGCGCUGGGACGCGAGCUUGAGACUCGGUGGCUUUACCCUGCUUCUUUUGGUAUAUGGUUAUCGAAAAAAAUCUCAGCGUGUAUUUAGUUGUCGAAUGGGCGAGUUCUUUUUGUUUUUUGUUUGGGAAGAAUGGGAGAGUAGCCCUCUUUGCUUUUUGCUGCUCUUACGUUUUUCUUUCUUUUUUCCUAUUUUUAAUUUCCCCGCCACCGCCUCUGUUGCGUGAUGAGUUUCCACUCUUAUAAUUUGGUCCAGUUAGAAAAAAUAUUAGAGAAAGAUAGAGAGAGCUCUGCUUUGCCCAUGUUUGAACAUGUGACAAUUUGGUCCUGUGUGUUCGUGGAUGUAGAUUCAGCACCGGAUGGUAAUGAAUAAAGGCGAAUAACUGCAAGACUGGAUUUGUGUGUUGUUUUCUUGAUCGGAGGUGAUUAUUUUGGGUACAUGGACUGAAUAUAUUCGCAAGCAUCACAAGGGAUGGAUCUGAUGACGACAUCAGCAGCCUUGCAGAUUCUCUGCUGGAGCAUUACCUGUUUUUUUCCUCUUGUUGCAAUGGACUCCAUGCCAUGCAGUUUAUACAUAUUUGUAUGAAUUUGUAAGUUGUGGAGCUAGCUGGGAUCGAUUUGUGUCCACACAAAAAAAAUCACAGACUUACACAUAGCCUGCAAUUGAUCAAACCGCAAAAAAAAAUGUAUGGUGCUAUGUGUGCUAGCCUCGGAUUUUGUGUGGUGAGCCUGCCGAAAUCUUGGCCUGGGAAUAAAACUUUCUUUCUAGCCAUUUAAGACCAUUAUUGGAAAAUUGAAGAAUUUUGUUUUGAGUGGAAUUUUUUUUAUAUAACUGUGGUAACAACCAUAUGUAUGGAAAAUAUUUCAAUGUCAACUGAAACUUUUUUUUUGAACGGUACAAACCUGCAUUAAAUUUCAGUUCUUUUGCUAAAUAUUAUAUGAUUCUAUAGCCUAGAUCGACAUACUGUUCUAUUUUGCACAAUAAAGGGUCAUCUUGCAAAUGGUUUCCCUUGACAAGAUGCACCAAAAAAUCAUGCAGAUUAGAACUUUAACGAUACACGCCCGAUAUCGCGACUCUCCUUUCCUAUGUCGUUCAUGUUCUCGACUUUGUUUAAGUUGUCGAUCCCACCUGAAAUAUGGACUUUCAUAUACUAUGAUUGGUCUUUUAUGGCCAAGGUAGAAGGACUUUAGUGUCACACACCAAAGUAUGGAUCUAAAAAAUGUCUUUUGAAGGUCUUUGAUGGCAUGCAUAGAAGAAUUUCAGUGAGACACGCCCAAGUCUAGUAAUCUCACAAAUAAUCAAUCUCGAUUCUAUGUCGGGGCCUUCAUGUUUGACAUAGGAGAAAUUUAACGAUGCAUGUCCAAGAUCGUGAUUGUCCUCUUAUAUGUUGAUCCCCAUUUUGGCUAGAGACAAACUAUUAUUCGAGUUGACGAUCGCACCCAAAAUAUGGACUUUCACAUACUAUGACAGGUCUUUUGUGGUCUAGUUAGCAGAACUUUAGUGGCACACACCGGAGUAUGUAUCUCAAUAACACCUUUUGAAGGUCUUUCAUGGCAUACGUAGAGUUUACAUAAUUCACUAGCGAUUGCACAAGGAUAGAUCCCCGCGUGACAAACUUUAAUAUAGCAUGCUCGGUGUUUUCGUGUUCAAACACGAAGGACUUUACUGAAAGCACCGAGCAAUUGUACAAAGAUAGUGCAUUCGUGUACAAACAUGAAGGACUUCACAUAAUUCACUUGGCGAUUGCACAAGGAUAGAUCCUUGCAUGACACGGUGCUUUCGUGUUCAAACACGAAGGACUUAACUUAAAGCACUGGGAGAUUGCACAAAGAUAAACCCCCACUAAAUGAACAUUAAUCCAGCAUACCCGGAAGCGUUUGUAAUGCGGGGCAUGAAUGACUUUACAUAAUUCAGUAGGCAAUUGCACAAGGAUAGGUCCUCGCAUGACAAACUUUAAUAUAACAUGUCCGGUGCUUUUGUGUUCAAAUCCGAAGGACUUUACUAAAAGCACCGGGCGAUUGCACAAAGAUAGACCCCACUUAAAUGGACUUUAAUCCAGCAUACCCGAUGCAUUUGUGUACACACAUGAAGGACUUUACGUAAUUCACUGGGCGACUGCACCCCGCUUGACAAACUUUAAUAUAGCAUGCCCGGUGCUUUCGUGUUCAAAUACGAAGGACUUUACUAAAAGCAUCGGGCGAUUGCAUAAAGAUAGACCCCACAUAAAUGAACUUUAAUCCAUCAUACCCGAUGCGUUUGUGUACACACAUGAAGGAUUUUACGUAAUUCACUGGGCGACUGCACAAGGAUAGACCCCCGCUUGACAAGCUUUAAUAUAGCAUGCCCGGUGCUUUCGGGUUCAAACACGAAGGACUUUACUGAAAGCACCGGGCGAUUGCACAAAGAUAGAUCACCACUUAAUGAACUUUAAUCCCGCAUACCCGGUGCGUUCAUGUACAAACAUGAAGGACUUUACAUAAUUCACUAGGCGACUGCACAAGGAUAGAUCCCCNNNNNNNNNNNNNNNNNNNNNNNNNNNNNNNNNNNNNNNNNNNNNNNNNNNNNNNNNNNNNNNNNNNNNNNNNNNNNNNNNNNNNNNNNNNNNNNNNNNNNNNNNNNNNNNNNNNNNNNNNNNNNNNNNNNNNNNNNNNNNNNNNNNNNNNNNNNNNNNNNNNNNNNNNNNNNNNNNNNNNNNNNNNNNNNNNNNNNNNNNNNNNNNNNNNNNNNNNNNNNNNNNNNNNNNNNNNNNNNNNNNNNNNNNNNNNNNNNNNNNNNNNNNNNNNNNNNNNNNNNNNNUUUUGUGUACAAAUAUGAAGGACUUUACAUAAUUAACUGGGCGAUUCCACAAGGAUAGAUACCCGCAUGGCAAAUUUAAUAUAGCAUGCCCAGUGCUUUCGUGUUCAAACACGAAGGACUUUACUGAACAGACCAGACGAUUGCACAAAUAUAGACCCCCACUUCAUGCACUUUAAUCCAGCAUAUCCGGUGCGUUUGUGUACAAACAUGAAUGACUUUACAUAAUUCGAUGGGCGGUUGCACAAGGAUAGAUCCUCGCAUGACAAAUUUUAAUAUAACAUGCCCGAUAUGUUCGUCUUCAAACACGAAGGACUUUACUGAAAGCACUGGGCGAUUGCCCGACAUGACCGGUCUUUUAUAUCCUAGGUAGAAGGACUUUAGCAAUGUACCUAUGAGAUCGGGACUCUCGUCGUCCCAUGUUGGUUUCGUUCUUGAGUAGAGACUAGAUAUUAUUUGAGUUGGCAAUAGCACCGGUCUUUUGUUGCAUAGUUGGAAGAACUUUAGUGGCCUCUUAUGGUCGACCGCGACGAAAUUUAGAGAUAAUAGUCAUAUGUACCCGAAGACACGGCCCUCUUGCACUCCACCAUGAAGAAUUUUAAUGAUAUAUUGAUUGGUAAGUUUUUUCAUGUGGGAUCUUUGGAAACUAACCCCACAAUUAUUGUGUUAUUGCUCUCGACCAUGAAGAACUUUAGUUGCAUCACUAGACACUACACCCGAUAUAACCCCACAAUUGGGGUUCUCAGGAAACCAACCCCAUAUAACCGUCGAUGUGCACUUUAUAUCCUCGGUUCUGGUCCUCUUAUGGUCGACCGAGAAGAACUUCAUAAAUAGUAGCCAUAUGUACCCGAAGGCGGCGUCUUGCACUCGGAGCUGGAUCCCCUAACUUAGAGAAAGGAAGUCACUGUGCUACAGUGCACCACUAGUGUAAAAUGAAGAAGUAAUGUUACGGACUAUUAGCAGGUUAUUUACUUUUGGUAAUUACAGUAGAUAUAAAAAAUCCAAAAUUAAUUUAUAUCACCAUCAACUUAUUUGUAUGUAAUUACUAUGAAUGUGCAUACUACUCCCUCCGUUCCUAAAUAUUUGUCUUUCUAGAUAUUUCAACAAGUGACUACAUACAGAGCAAAAUGAGUGAAUCUACACUCUAAAAUAAGUCUACAUACAUCCGUAUGUUGUGUCCAUUUGAAAUGCCUAGAAAGACAAAUAUUUAAAAACGAAGGGAGUAUAUCUGUAAUUUAAAAAUUAAUCCAGUCGCUUGCACUCGACCAAGAAUAAUACUGUUAAAGAUUGUUGGGAUAUAAAUCAGUCCCAAUGACUGAUCCCACCGUCCGCCACACAAUCAGUACCAAAUUGAUUAGUGAGGUAUUUGUUAAUGGUCAAUAUAUCUAACGCUAAAAUAUACUGAUAUUGGACUUGUUGCGAAGAUCUCGUCAUAUAAAAUUCAACUAAAUAAAUGAAUUUGAAUUUUCAUAAUAUAUUUAAAAGAUAUGGUGACAUAUUUGUUUAUAGUGCAAUUUCGUGUUGAAGCGAUGGAUAGAUAGCAAGAGCUAGCCGUAGCAUGGCUAGCUGAGCAGAUGUGACAGCGCCGCACAUGCUCCUGUGGCCACCCAGGGAUUAUCUUAUUGUUGAAAUAUUGGCUCGGUCACUUCGGAGUACACUUUUGUUAAUUCAGAUGCAUACUCUGAAGAACUUUGUUCGGGUACUCCGAAGAACUUUAUACUAUCAUGCAUGUUCUAAAUCUCUGCCAUAUAAACCAUUAUAGGCGGUUAUAAAAAAGUUGCUCUUUUUCAUUAUUCAAUAUUGUCAAGCCAUACUUAGCUGAUAAAGUAAGGAGUAGUAUGGUUAGAUCUGAAGCAUAAAAGAUGGCAGGGAGGGAUAAGAUGCAUGUGAAGGACGAGGACAGCCGAAUCUAUAGACUUGGUCCCACCACCUGCCGAAUCUGAUGAAAUACAUCUCCAUAUACACUCCUGCCAAAAAUCGUGGGACGCUGGGAUACCAUGCAAAGCUGACAAUGUGGUGGGCCUAGUUGAUUUGACACCACGGUUGAUGUGCGGUUGAGAUACGAGUUACGCGCGCAAUGCGUUAGAAAAAAACCACGUCCCCCAAAAAGGCUGGUUGGCAACACCUCGGCUGGCCACAGGUUGAAUCAGAGGUCUUGGAGCGACGGCCUUGCCAUGCGGAGAAGCUCCACUAGCUGCUUCAUCCGAUGAUUCAGCAGCUCUCGACGCGGCAACGCCUAGAAUUGUUGCCAGAAUGCCUUCUCUACCUUAUGGCCCUCCAGCUUGCUGAAGUAGUUUGUCGGCGUCCAACACGGUCUUCGGGUGAGCCGCGAGGACAUCUAUGGAGCGCCACAACUAGGUGAGCUCGACGAACCCUUUGCUGCCAAACACACAUUGAAGUAAAUAUGGCUUACCCGCAGGAAUCUGCUCCACUUGCUGGAGCACCUCGCGGUCGGCCCGGGCCUGGGUCUAGAGCUCAGAGUGCGCCAGAUGGAGCUUUUUGAGCUCGGCGCUCACUUUAUCCUCCUUGGCUUGAAGGGCAUCGCGUGAUUCAUAGACUCCCUUCAAGUUCUCCACCUCUAGGACCUGCGCCUGGUCCCUGCCCCUAUCCACCUUUUCGGCAGCUAGGUCCUUCUCUGCCUUGGUGGCCGCAGCCCUCUGCUGCUGGGCCUCCUACCGAGCUUUCACAAGCUUGGCCUUGAGCCCCUCAAGCUUGAACAAAGCCUCUGUCAUUCAAUCAGUUCGGCAUUAGCUUUUGUUUUCCACAAAACUAUCCUCACGCAAAGUAAAUUUCACCAUGUUCUAGAUUUUAUCUUUCGACUGCUUGAUCCGUUUUCUUAUCAGAUCAAGGUCCUCCUCAGACCUCUGGAGCUUCCAGUUCAUCUCUGCAAUCUCUUCGGAGGCGGAGCUCGGCACUGAGGUCAAAACCUACAAACACACAAUUUGUAAUUACCCCUGUCCCAGAUAUCAACAAUCCGGACAAAGCAUUUUAUGAUGCCUGCCAAAGUCUUGGGGGCUCCACCUUCAUCCUUCAUAGUUAUCUAUAUCGACCCCAAGGCCAGUUUCUCAAAACUAGCCAUGGGCUCGGGGGCUACUCGAUGGCUAUGCUGCCUAAAUACCGCGUCACAAUGUAAGCAAAAAUGUCUUAGGGCGGAUACACGGAUUUGUAAAUAAAUCCGAACAGGGAAAUUACCCUCAAUACAAAAGAGAAGCAUACCUCGAAGCUUGUGACGAGGCCCUUGAAGACCUCACGCAUUCCGGCCUCCGCAGACCGGAAGCCUUGUAGUGUCGCGCUGAUCAGUGCGCGGUGCUCUCCUUUUAGGGAGGAACUCGCAAGGGUUGCCUCCAUAUCUUCAGUCCACCUUGAAGUAACCUGCCCUAGGGCAGAAGGCAGGGUGGCAGAACCUCAGAGCCCAGACUCCGGCUGCAGUGCUGGCGCCGGAGUCGACUUCGGCUGGGCCAAUGUCUGGCCCAGCUCUUCUUGAACGACAUCGGGGACUCCGUCCCAUCGGUCCUGUUGGAGCGAGGUCUCAACCUCGGCCAUGAUGACCGACCCUCCGUCCUCCAUCGUUUCGACAAGAGGGGCCGGAGUAGACAUCGCUUCCCCAACCCCUCUUGAGCUGGAGGGGGAGUGGCGGGGUCGGGCGUCCCACUGGGCGCUGGCAGCCUGUUUGAGGAGUCACCGCUGAGGCGUACCUUAGGCUGACAGAACAAAAAUACCUAUAUAAAGUGCAUCUUGAUGAAAAAGUUACUGAAAGUUGGACAAAGUGACUAUGAAAUACCUCCGGGGUGCAGGCUUCUCCCUCCCCAUCGCGAGGUCGUCAUCGUCCGAAUCGUCGGGGAAGGUGAACUUCCCCGACGGGGCCGGCUUGCAAGCAGGCUCGAUAGAGGCCUUGUGCGGCCUCUUUAGGCCCUGUGGCCGUGCCUCUACUUUGGCUUCCUCGGACGCCACUCUCUUCCCCUUGAGGGAAGAUCUUCUCCACCCUCCUCCUCGUCGAUGGUGAAGCUCCAGCAAUACCUAUGCAUGCACACGAUAGGAGUGUCAAGUAGUAUACCAUUCUCGAAGGGGUCAAGUGAGCACGUGAGAAGGAGAUGAUUCACCUUUAUGUGUGUGAAGUGGAUGUCGUACGUAUCACUUGCCGAACGGACUCUUGACAUGGUGAUGUCUGGAUGCUUGGCAUCAAUUUGUCAAGAGCAUCAAAAAGCCCGCAACUACGAAGCAUACUAAAAUUGCAAAGGUACAGGAGGCUACCCGUAAAGAUAUUGCAAGAGCCUUUGGGAUUUUGCAAUAUAGGUUUACCAUUGUUCGUGGUCCUGUAUUGAAUUUUUUUACAGCCUAGAACCAAAGAACAAUCAUUCUACGGUAUAUUUUCAUUAACAAGAUAAAAUUCUUGUAUGAAUUAUUAGUUUAAUUUGUUGAUUUGAAUAAUUACUAUAAUUUGGAUGAUUGUUGUAUUUUAAUAUUCACAUUUUACCUUUUAUCGAAUUCAUAAUUCUGUGUAAUAUGUGACAUAUAUGUCAAUUUCAGGAAAAACCAGUUGGGAACAUUUUUCGUAGACCGGAACAUUUUUUUCGCAUAUGCGAACCAAAAAAUUGAAACUGGAGAAAAUGUUUUUGAAAAACGUGAAACAUCUUUUGAAGUUGUGAACAAAUAAUGGAAUCCCGAACAAAUUUUUAACCGCGAACAUUUUUUGAAAUUUUGAACAACUAUUUGAAUAAUAGAACAUUUCAUGAAAUUAAAAAAAAUAAAACCACGAAUAUGUUUUGAAUUUGUUAACAAAUAGUUGAAAACGGAACUUCAUGAAAUAUCUCACAAAAAUUUGAAACCAUGAACAUUUUAUUAAAUUCCUGAACACUUUUUCGCGAAUAUUUAUAGAAUUUCCGACCAAAUUUUGCAAGCACGAUCAUUUUUUUGCAAUUCCAGAAGUUUUUAUUUUUGAAAUAUGUACAUUUUCUAAAUUUGAGAACAAAAUUUGAAAUACAUGGUCAUUUUUUCAAAUUCCUGUAUAUUUUUUAUAUUUAUGAACAUUUUUAAAAAGUGGAAGAUUUUUUAGAAUCUUAAAAAAAUAAGACAAAUAUCGACUAGAAAAAGAAAAAAGGGGAGAUAAAUGGAAAAAAGGGAAAAAGAAAAGAAACAGCAAAAGGAAAAGAAUGAACAAAAAUAGACAGAAAAACUUAAAAACAAAAACCAAAAAGAAAGAGGAAAACAAAACCGGCUGGGAAACUCUAGAAGGUUCCCAAAACCGGAAACACUUGGCCCAGGUCAUCGCUCGAUCUGCAGGUCUGUGCAAAAGGUUGUAAAGUGCGUCCAAUAGGGAAAUCCUACGUAUAUGGACCCAAAUUUGGGGCUCUGAAUUUUUGGGGCCCUGUGCGAGCACACAGCUCGCACAGGCCCUUCAACGGCCCUGGUAGGCGGCAAACAGCCGGCAGUCUUCUUUGCCUCACGUUUCUCAUACUGAGUGCUAGUUAGUAGAGAGGUUUUUUUUUUUUUUUUUGCGGGUCAAGUUAGUAGAGAGUUGACAACAGCCAUUGACUGGACUUCCUCCUGGCGGUAGAGUUGAGAACAGCCAUCAUGAAGAGAAAUCUUGAAUUGUUCCCACCGUAGAGAGGCCGAUUUUCGUGUUGAUCGACUGUUUUGUCCCCCAUCUUUGAUGUUGACAUCUGUUGACAAGGCUGAGCACCUUCACGAGGGACUUUUCCAAAUUCUAUCCACUUUGUGUCGUUGCCACAGGGUCCCUAGCACUGAUUUGUUAGGCUUGGGGAUUUUGCGCUGCGUGCUCAGAUUUUUUUAUUCUUACUCUAUGCUCUUGUAUUUAGUCUAAGGAUGCGACACAACUGAAAAUAGAGAUAUACCGGAGAGUGUGUGAGCUAUCCGGCGCUGUCAUCCCAACACCACUGGAGAGCCGAGCCAUUUCCAGCGGACAGAAAAGUCAACUAAGACGUGAACAUGCUCACCCUACACCGACAGAAAAACUAUCUACCUGACUUCAACGAGAUAAAUGUACCGGCUUCAACAGUUAUAAUAUUCCUAAAGAACAAUCCAUACUUUUAGAAAGUAGGCUGUCCCCGACCUUAAAAUGAGGCCCUUAAGUUAUCACAAGAUUCCGAGGGACCAAAACACAUGCGACUGAGCGCUAGAAUAAAGCCAGAAAGUAGAGGUGUAGGUUCGAUACAUGGUCACAUAGAACCGAUACAAGCGACGCAGCGCUGAUGAGCGGUACUCAGCGAAGAUGCACAAGUACCAAAGAGACCAACCCAAUGGCUCGAGACAUUGCCGUCGAUCUCACAUCCAUACUCAAAGAACCUCCAGUUGUUGAGGUCGAGCAACUUCCUCUUCCUGAUCUCACAUCAUCUCUGUGAGUGUAAACAUAGACACAUGGAUAAACAAACAGUGAGCUAGCCACAAUUGGAAGCUACAAAAUUGACAUGAAUGGGAGACAUCUAUUCAAAACUUACAUGGAUAUGGAUCGGUCGUCCAAUCAUUAAUCCAAUCAUCCGUCAUGUUUAUGACGGUGUAGCAAACACUCAUAAAAUGUUGGAAUCGAGUUCUGAUCUCUAUGAGCAUAUUGUUCUUAUCAUGCAAUUCCUGAAAGAUUGAUUGACAGUACUAAUUUAGUUAUUAGAAGCAGAAUCCGGAAAAGAAUGGGAUGCAAAGACUGAGAAAAAAAUAAAUCAUGUGGCUUAGGUGUAUACCUGAUCGUAGUCACCUCCAUGGUUUAUCAGGUUCUUAACCAACUUAAUAAUAUUGAGAUAGCAAUAUCUUGUACCAUAGUUAGCUGACCAACUCCCAUCAUUAGGGUCCUGAAAGAACUCAUUCUUUCUAAACCGGGAUCCAUGCUUGAAAGCUGCAAAGUCCCUGUUUUCUUUGAGUUCCCUAUUACUUCCAGGGGGGAUGAACGUGAAGAGAUUGUAGUAGAGUUGGUUCCAGGGAACAACUCGAGAACGGAGAUCAUGGUCACGUUCUAGUUCAUCAUCGAAGUCAUGCAAGAAGUACCGUUUAAAUGCCGGGUAGCGAUUGUGAAUCCAAUUUGAGAACCUAGCUUUCCCUGUAUUGUCCAGACGCAUUACAUCCAUGUGGAGAGCUACAAAGCAGUCCAAUUUUUCUUCGGCAGUGCCCAAUAAAAUUGGGUGCCGCAAGACAACUUCUAGCCAGUUAGGACCGUAAUAAGAAUCAACUCUAAGUGGGUUCCUGCAUGCAUACCCGAAUAUUAGUUAGUUACACAGGGGUAGAUACAAAAAAAUUAAUUAGUAAAACAAGUCAUUUUAGUAAUAAGUCUACUACGUAUACUUGAGAUAGUACUUUCAUUAAGGCUACAAUUUACAUAUUUAAUUUAAUUUAUUUUCCACAUUGUGCUGUACUACUAAGCUGUGUUAUGAGAUAUGGCGGAAAUAGUACCACAUGGUCACUGAGAGGAGAAGAUCAACAAGGGUUCUCCACUCGGGAUGAGUCAAACUCCGAGGGAAUAGUGUGGUUACAAAAUCCAUAAGCUGCCGCAUGUCUCUUUCUCUCCCGACAAUGUGAGAAUAUCGCCCCAUAUUAAUUAUCUUCAGCCCAUCUCGACAAGUCGCAUAGUUGGCAAGCUCCGAGAGGCCACCAUGUCUGAUAUUGCACUGUGCCGCGAUAUGGAGAAGUUCUAUGAAUGACCUGCGUGAUCCCAAAGAAACACAAAAAUGAAUCAUCUACCUCUAAACAUGAGUCAACAUAUUAAUUGUAUAUAAGACAACGCACCUCAUCCUCUCCCGCCAACAUUCUGACAACUCUAGCUCAUCAUGAGCAAAAAAUGGUUCACUCCUUAUUCCCUGAAUUGAGGCGGGAACGAAUGGCUCAUAGGCCACUAUGUAUCUCUGAGCAUUGUGGCAAAAAGUACUGAAAUAUGCUUGCACAAGUAAGUCACCACCAUAGCUAGAAAGUUUUUCAGUAUGCGCCACAAUUGCAUCUCCGAUCUCACUAGCGUUGGCCCAAUCCUCUAAGAUCACUACUGUGAUAUCAUGAGGUUGCUCAAUACCAUCAUCGUACGCAAUUAUCAUCGUGCCGUUAUGAACAUUGCCAAUGGCCUCAUCAUCAUACUCGUACUCGAAGGUUUUAACAAACCCACCCAAGACUCUCUGCAUGAAUGCAUGUGUUGUUAGUUAGAGGUUAGAGUAGAUGUGUAAUUAAAUAAAUACAUUUGCUUACUCUAUGGAAUACUACUAAAUAAAAUGUGUUUUGAUAGACAAGAAUUUGUGGUUUCAAUUAAUACUAUACAACUAACAUUCUCUUAUAUAUAUCUAUGUAAGAAUCUUUUGUUAUUAAGAUCUAGUCUCGCAGAAAUUUCGGUCUAGUUUUUGUGGUUAUGGAAUUUGAUUACAACCUAGGCAAUGCAGAUUUUAUGCAAUGAUCAUUAGAGUGAACUUGGCUUAGUUAGGAAAACAUAGGGGAACUAAUUGGCUUUUAACAAUUCUAUAUAUGAGCCUAACAUCCAAAAAUAUAUCUGUAGUUUAGGACAAGAUCCAAAUGGAAGUAGGCAUGGCCUUUUUACUGCACGUUCCAUAGAAUAUAUUUUUCUGAAAUACAUUUGAUAGAAUUCACGAUGCAUUUCUACGGCAGAAAAAAAAGUUUGUGAUCAAUUUUGUGUGUUGCCCAAAAAAAGACAAGUAAAGCUUUUUUCUUGUGACUUCACAUGGAAGUAAAGAAGUUUAUUUUUUGGAAAAGGAGGAUCUAUGCACACAGCCAUAGUAAAAAAGAAAUGGAGGUAAUAUAACUUAUGACUGCAUAUAUAUACUAGCUGGUGGCGCCCCCAAUUUCUAUUUCUCUAGGGUCCGAUUCCUUCACCCGUUGACGGGUGGGGCUCUGCUUUGGUAAGGUUGCCGGAGCAGAUUUUUUUUCUAGUUUGGAUCAAGUUGGACUACAUAGCUUUCUUGUUUUAAAAUGCAUGAUUGAUAGAAGCUCAAAGAGAAAGAGUUAAACGAUGUGUUCUUAGCAAAGGGGAACAUCUGAUCAAGACAUGCGAUGGAUGGUGAAGGUUCACUUGGCGAAGACCCCUUCAGCACAAUUUCCUUCUAUAGCACCAGCAGUCCAGCACCAUGAAUGCUAUGGAGUUCCCUUUCCAUCCAGAGAGGUCAUGGAGCACCCUAGGUUUUCUUCACGAGCUUGUGAAGUUCUGUGCCCCCACCAUUCUUUGCCAUAAACUUAGCUAAACUCUUGGUCUAUAAGGUUUUUGCUAUAAACAGCAAUGCAUGGCCUAAGUGGUACAUAUGGUUCACGAUUGUAGUUGAGCUCCCACUACUAUAUGGAGCCAUGGGCCAUGGCGCAUCACAUCACAUGUGUGGUUGGGAACUGAAAGCCUCUUCGAUGGCAAUGCCCCAGAACCACCAAAGCAGUGGAGUACUCGGAUGCAUGGUUUGAAAGAUACUUUGAUAGUUUUGUGGCCUUUAGGACAUCUGUUUGAAGGAGAAAUGGUUGGUGGGCUUGUCAUGCACAAUUAAAAGAUUUGUAAAUCAUUUUAAGUUGCUCCUAAGUGUUAUGAACCUUUAUGCAAUGCAAUUACAUUGUGAGGAUAAAAAAAGACAAUUACUAUAAUCUAUUCCUUUCUUUAUUUUUUAAGCCAAGAAAAAAAAUAAACAUACCUAAUUAUACCCCAGUUUUAGUCUAUGUGAUAUAUAGUAUGAAAAUGCAUAUAAUAAUAGUCAAUGCUCGUUGACAAAAUCAUAACAACACUCAAAUUAACUUUGCUAAAUUUCCUUUUACAAAGCAACCAUGUGUUGCCGUGUUCUUGGACAGACUUUUUUUUUGUUAGAGCAGACAGCACAAAGUGUGUGUAACACCAUAUAAAGAGAGAGAAAGAUUAUGUACAUAUGGCACUUACAUGUUAAGAUUGAAUGUAUGCAAUAGAGUAAACUGAAUCCUUAUUUUAGGGAUCUCUUACAGUGCAUUGUGAAACAUACAUAAGUUGGACCAUGCAUAUUAAAAAUAUUCACUAACUAAUUUUUAAGUGGUUGAGUGUUAUAAGUUGGCAUUUUUUUGAUCCAGAAUAUUUUUAACAUAGCUAAUGCAUCCAUAGAAAGAGAAAAAAGACCAAUAAUAUGUGAAUGCAAGACUAAAUUGGUUAAGUAAAAAGUUUACAGUAAGCACUGCUAAAUUGGUUGUAGCUUAUUUUUACACUAAGCACUACUUAAUGAUUGAAAAGUUGUCAUUACUAUGCUAACUGCUAAGCACUUCUAAAUUGGAGUUUAUUUUUACGCUAAGCACUAAAAAAGUUGCAUUCAACCAAUGUAGUAGUUGGCAUUUUAGGCUAUGCACUACUAAAUUGAAACUGUUGGUAUUUUUAAGCUAAGCACUGCUCAGUUACCUUCGUCAGGUUUGGCGCGUUGUUUCGUGCAGUUCUGAGUCUUUGUUGCGCCUUAUGCAAGUUAAUAUUGAAUUGUCUCUGUCCUUCGAGCGUCUACAUAAUAAUUGACGAAAUAACAAAGUAAGAGCAUAGCUAAUGCAUCCAUAGAAAGAGAGAAAUGAAAGCAAAGAGUUUGCUGUAGUUUGUACUAACACUACGAGUUUCAGCACCAUCUGUUCUAUUCCACCAAGCGUUUCGCGGUCGAUGCAUCUGUAGAGGUGGGGUGAGCAAAGAAAUGGAUUAAUCCAAAACUAUGAAAAAGAAAAGGUAAAAAAGAGAGAGGUAGCAGCGAAGAGAGAGGAGCACGAAGGAUAAGAAACCUCAACACGAUGAAAAAUCACAACACAGCAGGGAUCUCUAGAUCUGCAAGAGAGAGGUGGACUGUUAGAGGUGACUAACAAUGCAGUGCAAGAAGAACAUCAAUAAAAAAAGAAAUAGAGAGGCGAAAGCUAACCCUAAACCAUAAUCCAAAACUAUGACUAAGAAAAUAGAAAACAAGAAAAAUGAGAGGAGGAGAGAGGGAGGAACACUUGAGAGAGGAUGAGAAACCUCAACACACUUGGAUGAAAUCUCUAGAUCUGCAAGAAGAGAUGGAAAAGAGGGACUGUUAGGGAUAACUAACAAUGCAUUGCAAGAUGAACAUAAAUAAAAAAAUUGGAAACAGAGAGAGGGACGCUAACGCUAAACCAUAAGCAAUCCCCUGCGCGCUGUGUGGCUACACUGGUGCCGGCCACUCCAACUUAUAGAGGGCGCGGGCCGGGGAGGGGCGGGCGGGUGGGGGUAGCUCUGAUAUAACUGAUGUUUGGUCAGAGAGAGAGAGAGAGAGAGAGAGAGAGAGAGGUGCUAUGAGACAGAGCACGCGCUACAGUGGAGAGAAAUAAAUAUGAGCGUAGAGACAGAGAGCUAGACUAGAGAGAAAUAAACAUAUGUGAGUAGCUGUGUGUGUGAGAAGAGAAAACAUCUCCCACCAGACAAUGUGGCCACGGGAAGGUAGUUGUAGACUUGUACUAGUAAAGAAGGAGCAUCUACAAUCACAGUCCUCAAAGUCUUUGCAUGGCUGCUAUACAAAAACCGUGUAUGGUGCAAUGACAGGCUGCAGAGGAGAGGCGGGCCAAAUGAGUAUUUCUGCCAAAUGUGCAUCAAGAACUUAGAAUCUUCUGAGCAUUUGUUUUGGCAGUGCAUCAUCUCCACUGAAGUUUGGUCAAAAAUGGGAGAGUGGUUGGGAUGCCGCUGCUACACCAGCGGACAGAAGAGGUUUAAAAUCAAUGAUCCUGCUCACUCUUUGGCAAAUUACGCAGCAAAGAAAUGAGUGCACGUUCAGAGGAAGAGUAGCCUGCUAAAAUGAUAUUGUGGCGAUCAGAAGAUCACUAGAAUUAUGGUGUCAGGCAGGAGCAACCCACCUAGAGCACCCCUUUGAGGACCCUCCAUGAGAAAUCAGACAUGAGGCCUAAGAAUUUUUCCAUUCUUCCUUUCUAUAUGACAGCUCACCUUGGAUGGCAACUCACCUUUGUAUUCCCGUAUGCUCUCUGCUAUUAUUCAGUAUAUGCCAGCCAUCAGCUGGAUCUUUCCAAAAAACAAAAAAAUCACAGUCCUCCACCCAUAUGCACAUCCUCUAUAUGGUGUCACAAGUAUCAUGAGAUUGUAGUUGAGACAAUUGCUUAUUUACCAUUGACACGCUCGGCUAUUGCUCACUUGCGAUUGAACAAACUAACUUUGCUCAUAUACCACUUACAAACCCAUUAUGUUUUCAGCCGUUAUGUUGGUGUGAAACAGUGAACCACAUCCGUUAAAGUAAGAAAAAUGAUGAUUCUGCCCUCAAUGGCAAACUAGCAAAGAAAAAUGAUGAUUUUGCCCUCAAUGGAAAAUUAGCAACCUUGCCAACUGUUACUUGUAAGCAUGGCGAACCAUUCUCUUGAAACUAUUAUAACAUAUUGAGAUUACAUAUUUGGAUAAAAAAAUUGGCAGCACCUUGCUUAUAAUUCCAAGAUCAAACAAUUUCAUGACACUAGUAUAAUAUUUUCACCAUAACACAUAAUAAGGAUAAUAAACAGGUAGCAUCUUUCUCAAGUUAGCUUCCAUGACAAUAACAUAUAUUAAACAUAUUUCUCUAAAAAAUGACAGCACCUUGCUUGUAAUUUCAAAAUCAAACAAUUUUAACCAUGAAAACAAUAUAUUUUCAACAUAACACAUAGUGAGGAUAGUAACAGGUCUCCAAAUAGACAUGGUACUCACUGUCCAGUACAAGACAUUGAAGUGCACAAAAGAGAGUGAAAUUGCUAGUCAUCAACCAAAGGGAGGGGGUGAAUGGGAGAUUUUUAUGAAAGUCUUUGAAACAGGGAAUGUCUUCGAAGAUACGGAAGCUAAAUAGUUGCAAAGUAUGGCAGUACUAGUGAAAAGCUACACUGGGCAAGCUAUCAAUGAGAAGCUAAUGGCAUUAGCACCAUAGAUAGUAGGCAAACAAGGUAGCAAUAGAUGUAGAACAUGCACACAUACAAGCAAACAACUUUAAGUACAACGAGCUGGAAGACGGAAAAGAGUAUCAUGAUGAAUGUCUUCAAGCGUAGCGUUCACACAUGGAUGAGCAAGCAAGGUCUUCACAGUACAAAACAAAGAGUAAAGUAGUGAAGUGAUAAAACUAGUUGCUUGUUGAAGAAAAAUGAUUUGUUUGACCAGUUUCAAUUGUUGUGACAACUAUACGUCUGGCUGGAGAGGCUGAGAUUGAACACAUAAGACUAUGUCUUCACCUUAUUCUCCCUGAGCUAAGAUCGCUCAGACUUCGCCCAGUCACUCAGGUAUGUCUUCAAGGUCGACUUCUGAAACCUUCACAAACUCAUUCACCGGCAAUCCACAGUGACUCUUGGAUGCUCAGAACGUGACGCCUAACCGUCUGGAAGAUCAUAGUCCUCAAGUGUAACAAGUCCUCGGUUCACCCAGAACAGAAUGUCUUUAGUGAUGCUCAAUCACUUUGGGCUCUGGUUGUUUGGGGUUUUUCCUCGUGGGAAAUCUCUAUCAAAAGCCUUGAAGGUGGGUUGCUCCAAAAUGACAGGAGCUGUGCAAUAACUCUGAGCAACCACCAACUUAUGGUGGAGGGGGGAACUAUUUAUGGCUAGGGGCAACCUGACAUGAUAUGACCAAAAUGACCCUGGGUCAAUGGCCAACCGAUAUGUGUACCAACCGCUGGCUUUCAAACAUACGCGGAAACUUUGCUUGGGCUACAAGCAAAGCUGACUCAACCAACUCAGAAGAGAUUUUCUCUCAUUAUCUUCACUAGAAUGAAGGAAAUAUGCCCUAGAGUCAAUAAUAAAGUUGUUAUUUUAUAUUUCCUUAUUCAUGAUAAAGGUUAUUAUUCAUGCUAGAAUUGUAUUGAUUGGAAACUUAAAUACAUGUGUAAUACAUAAACAAAUACCGUGUCCCUAGUAAGCCUCUACUAGACUAGCUCUUUGAUCAAAGAUGGUUAAGGUUUCCUAACCAUAGACAUGUGUUGUCAUUUGAUAACGGGAUCACAUCAUUAGGAGAAUGAUGUGAUGGACAAGACCCAUCCGUUAGCUUACCAUAUUGAUCGUUCAGUUUAUUGCUAUUUAUUUCUUAAUGUCAAAUACAUAUUUCUUCGACUAUGAGAUUAUGAAACUCCCGGAUACCAGAGGAAUACCUUGUGUGCUAUCAAACGUUGCAACAUAACUGGGUGAUCAUAAAGAUGCUCUACAGGUAUGUCCUAUGGUGUUUGUUGAGUUGGCAUAGAUCGAGAUUAGGGUUUGUCACUCUGUGUAUCAUAAGAAGCCUUGCAAGCAAAGUGACUAAUGAGUUAGUUGCAAGAUGAUGUAUUAUGGAACGAGUAAAGAGACUUGCCGGUAACGAGAUUGAACUAGGUAUGAAGAUACAGACGAUCGAAUCUCGGGCAAGUAACAUGAUGGACAAAGGGAAUUACGUAUGUUGUCAUAAGGUUCGAUCGAUAAAUAUCUUCGUAGAAUAUGUAGGAGCCAACACGGGCAUCCAGGUUCUGCUAUUGGUUAUUGACCGGAGAGGUGUCUCGGUCAUGUCUACAUAGUUCUCGAACCCGUAGGGUCCGCACGCUUAACGUUCGUUGAUGAUAUAGUGUUAUAUGAGUUAUAUGAUUUGGUGAUCGAAUGUUGUUCGGAGGCCCAGAUGAGAUCAUGGACAUGACGAGGAGUCUCAAAAUGAUCGAUGGGUAGAUAUUGAUAUAUAGGACGAUGGUAUUCGGACACCGGAAGAGUUUUGGGAUGCACCGGGUAGUCAUUGGGUCACCGGAAGGGUUCCGGGCACCCCCGGUAGGUAUAUGGGCCUAAUGGGCCAACGGAGGGACAGACCAGCCCACCAGGGGAUGGUGUGCCUCUCUCCCUAGCCAGCCAACCGUAGGGAAGGAAAGGGGGAGGGCUAGCCCCUCCUGCCUUCCCCUUCUCAUGGGAGAGAGGAAAAGAGGGGCGCCUCCCUCCCGUGCCUUUCCCCCACACAUAAACAUGGCAGGGGGCGCCACCUGGGAAGAGACCCCAAGUAGGAUUUGGCCUACUUGGGGGCGCCUCCUGGCUGCUCCCUCCUCCCCCCACCUAUAUAUAUGUGGGAUGGGGCGCCUAGCACACACAGAACAAUGGCUUAGCCGUGUGCGCCCCCCCCUCCAUCGUUACACCCCCGGCCAUAUUUUCGUAGUGCUUAGGCGAAGCCCUGCGGAGAUAGCUUCACCAUCACCAUCACCACACCGUCGUGCUGCCAGAACUCUUCCACUACCUCGCCAUCUUGCUGGAUCAAGAAGUCGGAGGACGUCAUCAAGCUGAACGUGUGCUGAACGCGGAGGUGUCGUACGUUCAGUACUCGAUCGGUUGGAAUGUGAAGGAGUUCGACUCCAUCAACUGCGUUGUUAAAUGCUUCCGCUCACGGUCUACAAUGGUACGUAGACAAACUCUCCACUCUCGUUACUAUGCAUCUCCAUGGAUAGAUCUUGCGUGUGCGUAGAAUUUUUUUGUUUUCCAUGCAACAUUUCCCAACAGUGGCAUCCGAGCUAGGUGUAUGCGUAGAACACAAAGAUUAAUUUGUGGGCGGUGAUAGUCAUACUGCUUGCCACCAACAUCUUAUUUUGAUUCGGCGGUAUUGUGGGGUGAAGCGGCCCGGACCAACCUUACUUGUCUGUAUAUUGCAUGAGCGUGGCCACAAUCUGCGACCGGGCGGCCAAGGCUGCCCAAACAGCCGAUGUUGCUUCUCAGGUGGCGGCAGCAACAUCUGCCUCGAGGAUAGCAACUGGCGAGAGUGGCACAAUAGUUAUCCAUUCUGAAGCAGCGGCCUUAGCCCUGAUGGAGGCCGCCCACACCCAGCUCGUGGUGGUCACCACACAAAACGAAUGAAGCUUCUCCGACAACGAUCGGCAACCCACGGCCGAAGAGUUGGCAAUCGCCACGAGCGUUCGAGCAGUCGUCUGUUCCUCCGCCGCAUACCUUGCCACGACAGAGCCAUCCAAGCCAGAUCGCGGCCGCCCAUGCCCAGCUCGUGGCAGCCUUUUCCAAAGAGAUGGCGGAUGCGAAUGGCGAGAUGCUUGCCGGGUAUGGUGCGAUGGAUGCCAUGGAGCCCCUUCUCUAGGAGAUCAUCGGGCGCGAGCUAGACAUGGAGGAGGCGGCAGAGAUCGACGAGCACCAGCCAUAGUAGUACUCUUUGUUUUGUUUAAUUAAGGGUGUCAGUCUUUAAUUUGUUAGAGUAAUGUUUAGGUUAGCUAGCUCUGUUUAGUUGCUGAAAUUGCUCGAUUAAGAAGUCUGGGUGUGUUGUAGUCUCCUUUGUGUACCCAAAUUAUGCAAUGACAUGGAUGCCCAUUGUAACCAGGGAAAUAUUCGAACCAAAAUAUUUCACGUUCCAACUCAUCACACACAGGUUAAGCUAUUUGAAUCGUUUGUGAUGUUCACAUAUCGUACACAGUUCUAAAUAAGGGACCGUGUCUGAUGACACUUUGCGCGCCAGUUUUUUCGCUGAACCGAUUCAAAAUUUUCGGCUUCCGCGGAAAUAUCUACCAACCCGCCCCCUUCCCCUUACCAAAAGCCACAUUUCCCCUAUUUCCGCUUUCCUUUCCAUGUUGAAACAUUCACUCCUUGCUUACAGCGCCGCCGCCUCGCCGGCGACCCUUCUUCACACUGCUCGGCCUCGUCUAUCCAAGUAGUUAAUCCACACCCGACCCCCAUCCUCCUCCUCCUUCCACAUCCAACAUGCCCCGACCGCCGGCGCGACACCUUCCACCAAAAUCACCGACCCCUCCACCAAAUAAGCGCCGCCCUAAGCCAUGGUGCACGCAGUAUAUGCAAGAGCUCAAGGAGCAUUUGGCAGCGGAGAAGCAAAUCGCGGCCGCACAUGCGGAUGAGGUCACGAUGGCUGCCAUUCAUGCCGACCCCCAGAUCUUGGAGGAGCACCUUGCCAUUUGCCAGCUAUGCCGGUUAAGCAUGCUCGAUUUACCCGUUUUGUGUGCUGCUUCUGUCUUUAACAAAUUCUAGUGAAUUGUGCUAUCUAAUUUUACCAUGCAAUCUGUUGCUCUAGUGUAUAUGUUCUAUAUGUCGUGCAAUGUGGUGCUCACUUAUUAACUAUGUGGUUAAUUAGUUAUCGUCUUCAGUUAACUGUUUGGUUCAAUUCUGCAAAUGUGAUAUUCAAUUCUUCAGGCUGCAAUUUUGUAUUGUCUUCCAUGUGAGAAAUAAAUUGAAUUUAUCUUUACAAAAUACAUGAGAAACAAAUACAAUUGCAAUAUUUCCAAGUUGUCAAGCAUGCCUGGUUUGGUUAACUGUCUGAUCUUCUAGUAUGUUAUUCAUUGUGCAAUGUGGUGCUCAGUUAAUGUUUGGUUCAUUUGUUGUGGUGUUUCAUUAACUGUUUGGUUCAAUUCUGCAAUGCGAUGUUCAAUAGUUGUGGGUGCAUUCUGUUAUUGUAUACCAUGUGAGAAGUAAAUCAAAUUUGGUUGUACUAAAUGCAUGAGAAACAAAUACAAUUGAUAUAUUUCCAAGUUGUUAAGCAUGAUUGGUUUGGUUAACUGUCUGAUCUUCUAUUAGGAGUAUGUUAUAUUAUGCAAUGUGGUGCUCAGUUAAUGUUUGGUUCAUUUGUUAUGGUGUUUAGUUAACUGUAUGGUUCAAUUCUGCAAUGCGAUGUUCAAUUGUUGUGGGUGCAUUCUGUUAUUGUAUACCAUGUGAGAAAUAAAUUGAAUUUGUUGUACUAAAUACAUGAGAAACAAAUACAAAUGCUAUAUUUCCAAGUUGUUUAGCAUGCUUGGUUUGGUUAACUGUCUGAUCUUCUAUUAGGAGUAUGUUAUAUUGUGCAAUGUGGUGCUCAGUUAACAUUUGGUUCAUUUUUUGUGGUGUUUAGGUAACUGUUUGGUUCAAUUCUGCAAUGCGAUGUUCAAUUGUUGUGGGUGCAUCCCGUUAUUGUAUACCACUAGAAAAAAUGCCCGUGCGUUGCAACGGGAGAAAAACAAUAUCAUAGGACAUAGUGCAAUAAACACGACCCAAUAAUAUGUGCUUGCCCUAAUAUUUGAACAUAGGUACCCAUAUAUAUCGUUUAGUUGAAAAAACAUGUUAUGGCACUGCUAAUAGAAUGUUAUAGCAUUAUGAGUAAUGUCUCGCUAAUAGCACGCUAUUGUUGCUUAUCCUCCUUGUCUCGCCGACCAGCGGUCAUGGUAUACACUUGCAAAUAUAACAAAUGUACCUCAUUACAUAUGCGGUGAAUCAAGGAACUUCUACAAUUGACAUGAGCAGAUGAACAAUAUAUGCUCACCUCAAGGAACAAAGUCAGGUCCAUUUAGAUGCUACCUCCAGGUUAAUAUGCCAUAGCGUCACACCUUAUGGAAGGAACAAUGCGUUUAACCGUGAGCCACAAACAAUCUAGUUUAUUGACAUAAUUAAAGUAAUUAAUUAUUUUAUUUGUUCCGGAACCUAUGCAAGGUAGCCAACCAUUGCAGACCUCUCUUCCCUAUAAAUAAUUCAAAGUAGACAGAAUUUUUUGGCAAAAAGUCUAGUUUAUUGACAUAACUAGAGUAAAUUAAUUAUUUACUUGAUCUAGAACCUAUGCAAGGUAGCCAUCCGUCACAAACCAUUCCUAUAAAUAAUCCGAAGAAGACAAAUUACCAAGUUUUGGGCAAGUAAAUUACCGUUGAAAUGGUGCCGUUAUAAAUAAUUCUCAAGUGGUUGCUUGUUUAUUUUUGAUGAGAUGCAACAGGCACCGCUUUUCAUUCGUUAAGAGGGAAAUGGAUAGGUUACAUGGUUUAUAGGCCAUUGUAAAGUGACUGAAAUAGAAGAGAAAAGGCAAACACUAUUAUUUACAAGGUAGAAGGCUCACUGCAGACCAUAAGACGACUACGCCAUCCAUUUCACUCCUUUCAUCCCCUACAUGAAGGAAGGCUCAGAGCUCUUCCGAGAUUGAGGUGAAUCAUUAACCUACAUGCCACUGAUAUCUAAAAUAAAGAUCAAUGGAACCAAUGGUUUGUUGUGAUUGGCACUAAUUUUAAAAAUUAUUAACGUGCAUGAUAAUAACUUAUUUGGAAUGUACACAUUUUUCUGAUGGAUUUUCAUAUAUGACAUGUUAGAUUUGAAGCUAGGAUUUAAAAGGUAUGAAUAUUUUUAAAAGUAUUUGAUCUUUAAAAAAAGAAAAGAAAAAGGUUCUAAGGGGGUUCGAACCGGUGACCUCCAGCAUGGUAGCCGAAGGCCCCAACCACUGGGCUACAUGCAUGAUUCUUUUAUUGGAUGGAUUUCUGUCCUAUUGACCUAAGCUGACCGCGGCAAAAUAAAUAUAAGAAACGAAAUGUUUUGUUCUACUUAUUGGUGGCAUGGUGGGUAAUUAUUCACAACUUUGGGGAUAAUUUAGAUGACGGAUGACCAGAAACACUAUUAGCUUUAUUAUUAGGUAGAGAUGUGAGAAAUAAAUCGAAUUUGGAUGUACUAAAUACAUGAGAAACAAAUACAAUUGCUAUAUUUCCAAGUUUAUAAGCAUGCUUGGUUUGAUUAACUGUCUGAUCAUCUAUUAGGAGUAUGUUGUAUUGUGCAAUGUGGUGCUCAGUUAACGUUUGGUUCAUUUGUGGUGGUGUUUAGUUAAUUGUUUGGUUCAAUUCUGCAAUGCAAUGUUCAAUGUUGUGAGUGCAUUCUGUUAUUGUAUACCAUGUGAAAAAUCAAUUGAAUUUGGUUGUACUAAAUACAUGAGAAACAAAUACAAUAGCUAUAUUUCCAAGUUGUUAAGCAUGCUUGGUUUGGUUAACUGUCUGAUCUUCUAUUAGGAGUAUGUUAUACUUUGCAAUGUGGUGCUCAGUUAAUGUUUGGUUCAUUUGUUGUGGUGUUUAGUGACUUCUUGGUUCAACUCUGCAAUGUGAUGUCCAAUUGUCGUGGGUAGAAUUUCGUAUUGAUGUGCAUGUGAGGAAUAAAUCAAAUUUGGUUUCACUUAAUACAUGAGAAACAUAUACAAGUUCUAUAUUUCCUAGUUCUUAAUCAUGCUUGGUUUGGAUAAAUGAAUUUUCCAUGUGGCUUGAAUUAAUCUGAUGAAUCUGCAAAGUGCUUAUUUUUCAUCAACAUAUUUUACUGAUAGAAUGUGAACCGUCACAUAACCUGAUGACUACCUUAUAUGUGUUACAGGGAAACAAUGGGAAGCACUGAAGUUUACAAUCAAGGUUUGCACAUGCAUGGUCCGUUGUCUAAUAGCACAUUAUUGUGCAAUUGUAGGAACCAUUCUAAUAUUUAGGUUUUUAACAAUUUGGUCUUGCACAUGUAGGUCCUGAUGUCAGAGGAAUGUUUGACCCUUUUUGCAUAUGGGGAAAUGAGUUGUCCAUGAAUAUCAAUCAAGCCAAGAAACUCAGAAAGAUUGUUAGGAUAAUGAAUUUAGCGACAAAAAACAACAAGAUCUUUGCCUGCACAAUGAAGAAGGCAUGAGCUCACUAUAAGAUGGUACUAACUAUUAUGCCUUGCCUUUUUUUAUUCAUGUUCCCCAUUUCCAAUAUAGAGAAGAUAUUUAUGCACAUCCUUGCUUUUAGGCCUUUCGAAAGUAGUUCACCGAUGAUUACUUCUCAAACCACCUCUAUGGUCAGGAGGCGAGGAAGGUUUUCAUACAACACCCAAGAUUCAAUAUUGAAGUGUUCCUGAAGAGGAUGAAGGAUGGACGGUCAAUCAUCCACAGGCACUGGCCUAAAGUUGCGAAGACCUUCAAAAUCAAUGAGGGCUCAAUAUUCGCCUUCCACUUCAGUAGUUUUCCAGAUGAGAUGCAUCUGUCUAUGAUGCUAAUUUCGAAAGGUUCUAGAUGAUGCAUGUGAAACUUGGUGCUAGUGUAGUUGUGUAAUGGGGUAGCUGAGUGCUAAAGCUAUAUGAUGUUGUACUCUGAUGUGUUUCAACUAUGAAAUCCUGCUUCCUUAAUAUGGAAAUGAAAUAUAUUGUUUGCUUAAUAUGAAAUGUCAAUUAGAUUAAUAAAUGGAUUAUUAAUAAUAUAGUAAUUAGCCUGGUAAUAGCCAAUUAGCUUGCUAAUUGGGUUUUUAUAUUGCAAACGCUUAUUGAGAAAACACCAUGGGCGAUGACCUCAGGCAACGCACACAGUUUCUAGGAACAAACCGUGUUGGAUAAAUGGUCACACACGACAUCCUCUUGAAAAUUAUUUGUGUUAGGCCACCUUGCACAAACGUUUACCACAUAAAAACUGUGUCUAAUGGACAGCCUUUGCCACAUAGUUUUUUUUACGCAUCGUGUGUGAUGCAUUCAAUAACACAAAUGAUAAAAUUGUUAAUAUCAUGUGCAAUGGCAACGCUAUCACAAACAAUUUAAUGGGGAAAUUGUGCGUGAUGUACAUGUGAACGGAAACAUUUUCCUUGGAGCGACUGUGUGGGAUGUAUAUACGAACGGAAACAUUUAGCGGGGACUGACUUUGUGGGAUGUACUUACGACCGAAAACGAUGUCGCUUGUAUAAUUGUAUUUUUUUAGCACUACUGUACCUAUAACCGUAUUUGAUCGCUCGUCGGUCACGCACGACCUCAUUUUGCCUAGCGUGUGUUCCAGGAGGGCAUAUCCCCGACGGUUUCUGGGUCAUGUGGGAAUGACCCCCCUAUCGCAGCCACUCACUAAGCGACGUUUCAGAACGCCAUCGCGGAAAGGGGUUAAAAACAUUUGUAUAGCACCUUGUUGUACCAGUGGUAGCUUGGUAAUCACCACUCAAAGAAGCCAUCAGGCCCCACGUUGAAGUGCUGGGGAGCGGGCACCUGAGGGUCCCACUCCAGAGGCUCCUCCUCUCCUGUAGCCUGGUUAUUCCGGUAAGCGAUGAUAUCAUCUGGCAUGAUCUUGUAUCCGCCCGUGGCAAUAGAGUCAAACAAAGCAGGUGCAGGCAACGGAAUAACAUCACGAGUGUCCUCACUAAAAACUAGGUUGUAAGAGCAUCUCCAGCCGCGCCCCCAACACGGCCUCCCCAGGCAAUUUUUUUGCGCCGGUGCCAAGAAAACGGCCCAGUCGCACCACCAGGAGCCCGUUUUUCGCCGGCUUGGGCCGCAAUUAGCGCCGACGGACCUAGGCCGAACCCGGCGCGCUGGGGGCGCCGGGGGGCGCCGGGGCGAGUGGUUUUGGCGCGAAGAAGCCGCGGGCCCGCCGAGUCAGCGAGAUGGCCGCUUCGUCGCCCUCAUCGCCUCGGUUCCCGUGGGAAUCAAUGCCAAGGCUGCCGCGCUGCCGCCGCCUAUCAGCUUGCCAUUGAUUCCUCAUCCCGGGCGGCGCGUUACGGGGCAGCGCAGCGACGCCUCCCAUCCCGCCACACGUACACGCGGGAGCGGCUGUAUAAGCCGGUGGCCUUCCUCGCCUCUGGCCACACCAGCCCUAGCCGCCCAUCGACCGCCGCCGAGCUCUCCCUCUCCCGUGCGCAGCCGCUGACGCUUCUUCCCUCCCUCUCCCUCUAUCCCAAGCUUGAUGGUCGCGUGUUUCCCCGGUGACGCGGCGGCGGCCAACGGCUUCGGCCUCCGCUCGCUUCACGAGUGGGAGGUGUGGCUCCUGUUCAAGGCGAACACCCGGGCACCACCAGACAUGCGCGCCGGGCCGACGGGGUGGAGACUCAACAACGGGGGAGUGCCCAUUCCCCCGAUGCCUGACGCCGAGGCACGCCCCGCCUACUUCGCCGCCGAGGUUCGGUUCCUCCUCGACUACCUCCUCGCACUCCUCCUCCCAUUCUUCUUCCCACUCCUCUGGCUGGUGUUGCUCGGCGUCAAGGCAGAGCCCGCAGCGGAGACGCGGCUCGGCCGGCGCACUCACGGCGUCGGCAUCGUCAUAAACGAGGGUGGCCGGUGCACCUCCACCUCGGCUCCUCCGCGCUUUGUCAAACCAAAGACGGAGCUGGGGCUCGCGGCUGUGAAAACGGAGCCGGGGCUCCUCGCCGUGAAGACGGAGCACGUCGAUGUGGAGCUCGACGAGGAGGCGGCCCUGAAAUGGGCGCGCGGCGACUAUCUCAAGAUGGAGAUGGAGCGCCAAUGCAUCGCCCUGCAGCACUACGAACGGUGCUGCUACCUCUAGAGCACUGCGUUGGUUUUCCCUUGAAGAGGAAAGGGUGAUGCAGCAAAGUAGCGUAUGUAUUUCCCUCAGUUUUGAGAACCAAGGUAUCAAUCCAGUAGGAGGCUCCUCAAAAGUCCCUCAUACCUACACAAAGAAACAAGAACCUCACAACCAACGCGAUAAAGGGGUUGUCAAUCCCUUCACAGUAACUUGCAAAAGGGAGAUCUGAUAGAGAUAAUAAGAUAAGAUAAAUAUUUUUGGUAUUUUUAUGAUAUAGAUUGAAAAGUAAAGGUGCAAAUAAAAGUAGAUGGGAAACUUAUAUGCUAAAAGAUAGACCCGGGGGCCAUAGGUUUCACUAGUGGCUUCUCUCAAGAUAGCAUAAGUAUUAUGGUGGGUGAACAAAUUACUGUCGAGCAAUUGAUAGAAAAGUGCAUAGUUAUGAGAUUAUCUAGGCAUGAUCAUGUAUAUAGGCAUCAAGUCCGCAACAAGUAGACCGACUCCUGCCUGCAUCUACUACUAUUACUCCACACAUCGACCGACUCCUGCCUGCAUCUAGAGUAUUAAGUUCAUGAAGAACAGAGUAACGCAUUAAGAAAGAUCACAUGAUGUGGAGGGAUAAAUUCAUGCAAUAUGAUAUAAACCCCAUCUUUUUAUCUUCGAUGCCAACAAUACAAUACGUGCCUUGCUGCCCCUACUAUCACUGGGAAAGGACACUGCAAGAUUGAACCCAGAGCUAAGCACUUCUCCCAUUGCAAGAAAGAUCAAUCUAGUAGGCCAAACCAAACUAAUAAUUCGAAGAGACUUGCAAAGAUAACCAAUCAUACAUAAAAGAAUUCAGAGGAGAUUCAAAUAUUUCUCUUAGAUAAACUUGAUCAUAAAUCCACAAUUCAUCGAAUCUCGACAAACACACCACAAAAAGAGUUACAUCGAAUAGAUCUCCAAGAAGAUCGAGGAGAACUUGGUAUUGCGAUUCAAAGAGAGAGAAGAAGCCAUCUAGCUAAUAAAUAUGGACCCGAAGGUCUAUGGUAAACUAAUCAUAACUCAUCAGAAGGGCUAUGGUGUUGAUGUAGAAGCCCUCCAUGGUAGAUUCCCCCUCCGACGGAGCGCCGACGAAGGCUCCAAGAUGGGAUCUCGCAGAUACAGAAGGUUGCAGUGGUGGAAAUAGUUUUUCGUGGUGCUCCUAGAUGUUUUCAGGGUAUGGAGGUAUAUAUAGGCGAAGGAGGUAGGUCAGGGGAGCCACGAGGGGCCCAUGAGCGUGGGGGGGCUUGCCCACCCCCCUAGGACGCGCCAUCCUGCCUCAUGGCCGCCUCGACUGCUUCUUGACGUCCACUCCAAGUCUCAUGGAUUGCGUUUGUUCCAAAAAGCUCGCUCCUGAAGGUUUCAUUCCGUUUGGACUCCGUUUGAUAUUCCUAUUCUUCGAAACAUUGAAAUAGGCAAAAAAAACAGCAAUUCGGGUUGGGCUCCGUUAGUAGGUUAGUCCCAAAAAUGAUAUAAAAUUGUGAAGUAAAGCCCAUAAACAUCCAAAAUGGGUAAUAUAAUAGCAUGGAGCAAUCAAAAAUUAUAGAUACGUUGGAGACGUAUCAAGCAUCCCCAAGCUUAAUUCCUGCUCGUCCUCGAGUAGGUAAAUGAUAAAAACAAAAUUUUUGAUGUGGAAUGCUACCUAGCAUAUUUCUCAAUGUAUUUUUUCUUUAUUGUGGCAUGAAUGUUCAGAUCCAAAUGAUUCAAGAUAAAAGCUCAUAAAACAUAAAAAUAGUAAUACUUUAAGCAUACUAACAAUUAAUCAUGUCUUAUCAAAAUAGCAUAGCCAAAGAAAGCUUAUCCCUACAAAAUCAUAUAGUUAGGCCAUGCUUCAUUUUCAUCACACAAAAUACUCCCAUCGUGCACAACCCUGUUUUCAGCCAAGCAAUUGGUUCAUACUUUUUAACAUGCUUCAGCUUUUUCAAAUCUUACGCAAUACAUGAGCGCAAGCCAUGGACAUAGCACUAUAUGUGGAAUAGGGUGGUGGUUGUGAAGACAAUAAGGGAGAAGAUAUUCUCACAUCAACUAGGCGUAUCAACGGGCUAUGGAGAUGCCCAUUAAUAGAUAUCAAUGUGAGUGAGUAGGGAUUGCCAUGCAACGAAUGCACUAGAGCUAUAAAUAUAUGAAAGCUCAACAAAAUAAACUAAGUGGGUGUGCAUCCAACUUUCUUGCUCACGAAGACCUAGGGCAUUUUGAGGAAGCCCAUCAUUGGAAUAUACAUGCCAAGUUCUAUAAUGAAAAAUUCCCGCUAGUAUAUGAAAGUGACAACAUAAGAGACUCUCUAUCAUGAAGAUCAUGGUGCUACUUUGAAGCACAAGUGUGGAAAAAGAUAUAGUAACAUUGUCCCUUCUCUCUUUUCUCUCAUUUUUUUAUUUGUGGGCUUCUUUGGCCUCUUUUUUUUAUUUGGGCUUCUUUGGCCUCUUUUAUUCUUAUAAAGUCCGAAGUCUCAUCCCGACUUGUCGGGGAAUCAUAGCCUUCAUCAUCCUUUCCUCACUUGGGACAAUGCUCUAAUAAUGAAGAUCAUCACACUUUUAUUGAUUUACAACUCAAGAAUUACAACUCAAUACUUAAAACAAGAUAUGACUCUACAUGAAUGCCUCCGGUGUACCGUGAUAUGCAAUGAACCAAGAGUGACAUGUAUGAAAAAUUAUGGAGGUGGCCUCGCCACAAAUACAAUGUCAACUACAUGAUCAUGCAAAGAGCAAUAUGACAAUGAUGGAGCAUGUCAUAAUAAACGGAACGGUGGAAAGUUGCAUGGAAAUAUAUCUCGGAAUGGCUAUGGAAAUGCCAUAAUAGGUAGUUAUGGUAGUUGUUUUGAGGAAGGUAAAUGUUGGGUGCAUGAUACCGGCGAAAGUUGCGCGGCAUAAUAGAGGCUAGCAAUGGUGGAAGGGUGAGGGUGCGUAUAAUCCAUGGACUCACAUUAGUCAUAAAGAACUCAUAUACUUAUUGCAAAAAUUUACUUGCCCUCGAAGCAAAGUACUACUACGCAUGCUCCUAGGGAAAUGGUUGGUAGGAGUUAACCAUCGCACGAUCCUGACCUCCACACAUAAAGAAGACAACUAAAAGACCACCCCAUGCAACAAAUUUGUCACGCAACUUUUACAAUACGUGCAUGCUACAAGACUUGCCAAUCUUAAAGUAUUUCUCAAUUUCAUAAUUACCCAACUAGCAUGACUCUAACAUUACCACCUUUAUAUCUCAAAACAAUUAUCAAGCAUCAACUUGAUCAUAGUGUUUAACGCACUUUCUAUGAUAGUUUUUAUUAUACCCAAAUUGGAUGCCCAUCAUUCUAGGAUCAAAUUUAUAACCAUAGAAAAUACCAUGCUGUUCUAAAAGACUCUCAAAAUAAUAUAAGUGAAGCAUGAGAGAUCAAUAAUUUCUACAAAAUUAAGCCACCACCGUGCUCUAAAAAGAUAUAAGUGAAGCACUAGAGCAAAGAUUGUCUAGCUCAAAAGAUAUGAGUGAAGCACAUAGAGUAUUCUAAUAAACUCCAAAUCAUGUGUGUCUCUCCCAAAAGGUGUGUCCAGCAAGUAUUAUUUUGGUAUACUAAAAAGCAAAGACUCAUAUCAUACAAGACGCUCCAAGCAAAACACAUAUCAUGUGGCGAAUAAAUAUAUAGCUCCAAGUAAAGUUACCGAUAGACGAAGACAAAAGAGGGUAUGCCUUCCGGGGCAUCCCCAAGCUUAGGAUUUUGGUUGUCCUUGAAUUAUCUUGGGUGCCAUGGGCAUCCCCAAGCUUAGGAUCUUGCCACUCCUUAUUCCAUAGUCCAUCAAAUCUUUACCCAAAACUUGAAAACUUCACAACGCAAAACUCAACAGGAAAUCUCAUGAGCUCCAUUGGUGCAACAAAGAAAAACCACCACAUAAGGUACUUUAAUGAACUCAUUCUUUAUUUAAAUUGGUGUUAAACCUACUGUAUUCCAACUUCUCUAUGGUUCAUACCCCCCGAUACUAGCCAUAGAUGCAUCAAAAUAAGCAAACAACACUCGAAAAACAGAAUCUGUCAAAAGCACAACAAUCUGUAGCAAUCUGUAACUUUAGAAUAUUUAUGGAACUCUUAAAAUCCUACCAAAAUAGAAAGUCCUAGGAAAUUUGCCUAUUGAACUACUGCAAAAAUAAUCAACUAAAAAUCACGUUUCUGUGAUUUAUUAAAAUUGUUCUCGUGCGCGCAAAAGUUUCUGUUUUUCAGCAGAAUCAAAUUAACUAUCACCCAAGAUGAUCCUAUAGGUUCUACUUGGCACAAACACUAAUUAAAACAUAAAACUACAUCUAAACAGAAGCUAGAUGAAUUAUUUAUUACUAAACAGCAGCAAAAAGUAAGAAACAACAAUAAAAUUGGGUUGCCUCCCAACAAGCGCUAUCGUUUAACGCCCCUAGCUAGGCAAAAGCGAGAAUAGAUCUAAGUAUUGCCAUCUUUGGUAUUCAACUCAUAAGUGGCUCUCAUAAUAGAUUCAUAAGGUAAAUUAAUUUUGUUUCUAGGAAAGUGUUCCAUGCCUUUAAUUAAUGGAAAUUGGAAUCUAAUGUUCCCUUCCUUCAUAUCAAUAAUUCCACCAAUCGUUCUAAGGAAAGGUCUACCAAGAAUAAUAGGACAUGAAAGAUUGCAAUCUAUAUCAAGAACAACGAAAUCUACGGGCACAUAAUUCCUAUUUGCAACAAUAAGAACAUCAUUAAUCCUUCCCAUAGGUUUCUUAAUAGUGGAAUUCGUAAGGUGCAAGUUCAAAGAGCAAUCAUCAAAAUCACGGAAACCUAGCACAUCACAUAAAGUUUUUGGAAUUGUGGAAAGACUAGCACCCAAAUCACACAAAGCAUAGCAUUCAUGAUCUUUAAUUUUAAUUUUAAUAGUAGGUUUCCACUCAUUAUAAAGUUUUCUAGGGAUAGAAACUUCCAAUUCAAGUUUUUCCUCAUAAGAUUGCAUCAAGGCAUCAACGAUAUGUUUGGUAAAAGCUUUAUUUUGACUAUAAGCAUGAGGAGAAUUCAACACGGAUUGCAACAAGGAAAUACAAUCUAUUAAAGAACAAUUAUCAUAAUUAAAUUCUUUGAAAUCCAAAAUAGUGGGUUCAUUGUUAUGUAAAGUUUUGACCUCUCCAAUCCCACUUUUACCAAUUUUAGCAUCAAGAUCUAAAAACUCCGAAUCAUUGGGACGCCUUUUAACUAAAGUUGACUCAUCUCCAGUCCCAUCAUUAUCAAGAUUCAUAUUGCAAAACAAAGAUUUAAUAGGAGACACAUCAAUCACUUUUAGAUCUUCAUCAUUAUUUUCCCCUAACUCUUCUGGUUUGGCAGCCAUCUUAUUAACUAAGGUGGCUUGCUUAUCAGGAAGUUGGGCUAUAGAUUUUUCAAGACAAGCAAUCUGAGAAUUCAAACCAUAAAAUUCCUUAAACAUAUCAUCAAGCCCGUUAUUCAUGUAUCACAUAAAUAUUUUUUGUUAUUUAAGAUCGUUUCUAAAGAAUUACUGUGCUCAAAUUGUAAAGUCAUAAAGCUUCUAAUGUUUAAUUCAAUCUCUUCCAACCUUUUAAGAUGAAGAUCAGUGUUCUUAGGCAAAGCCAUAAGGGCAAACAGGCACACAAGAGGCGAACGGAAAAGAGAGGGCGAAUAAAACGGCAAGGGUGAAGUGGGGGAGAGGAAAACGAGAGGAAAAUGGCAAAUAAUGUAAUGCGAGGGAGAUGAGUUUGUGAUGGGUACUUGGUAUGUUUUGACUUGAGCGAAGACCUCCCCAGCAACGGCGCCAGAAAUCCUUCUUGCUACCUCUUGAGCACUUCGUUGGUUUUCCCUUGAAGAGGAAAGGGUGAUGCAGCAAAGUAGCGUAAGUAUUUCCCUCAGUUUUGAGAACCAAGGUAUCAAUCCAGUAGCAGGCUCUUCGAAAGUCCCUCGUACCUGCACAAACAAACAAGAACCUCGCAACCAACGCGAUAAAGGGGUUGUCAAUCCCUUCAUGGUAACUUGUGAAAGUGAGAUCUGAUAGAGAUAAUAAGAUAAGAUAAAUACUUUUGGUAUUUUUAUGAUAUAGAUUGAAAAGUAAAGAUGCAAAUAAAAGUAGAUGGGAAACUUAUAUGAUAAAAGAUAGACCCGGGGGCCAUAGGUUUCACUAGUGGCUUCUCUCAAGAUAGCAUAAGUAUUACGGUGGGUGAGCAAAUGACUGUCGAGCAAUUGAUAGAAAAGUGCAUAGUUAUGAGAUUAUUUAGGCAUGAUCAUGUAUAUAGGCAUCACGUCGGCAACAAGUAGACCGACGCCUGUUUGCAUCUACUACUAUUACUCCAUACAUCGACUGACUCCUGCCUACAUCUAGAGUAUUAAGUUCAUGAAAAAACAGAGUAACGUAUUAAGAAAGAUGACAUGAUGUAGAGGGAUAAAUUCAUGCAAUAUGAUAUAAACCCCAUCUUUUUAUCCUCGACGGCAACAAUACAAUACGUGACUUGCUGCCCCUGCUGUCACUGGGAAAGGACACCACAAGAUUGAACCCAAAGCUAAGCACUUCUCCCAUUGCAAGAAAGAUCAAUCUAGUAGGCCAAACCAAACUGAUAAUUCAAAGAGACUUGCAAAGAUAACCAAUCAUACAUAAAGGAAUUCAGAGGAGAUUCAAAUGUUUCUCAUAGAUAAACUUGAUCAUAAACCCAAAAUUCAUCGGAUCUCGACAAACACACCGCAAAAAGAGCUACAUCGAAUAGAUCUCCAAGAAGAUCGAGGAGAACUUGGCAUUGAGAUUCAAAGAGAGAGAAGAAGCCAUCUAGCUAAUAACUAUGGACCUGAAGGUCUGUGGUAAACUACUCACAACUCAUCGGAAGGGCUAUGGUGUUGAUAUAGAAGCCCUCCAUGGUCGAUUCCCCCUCCGGCGAAGCGCCGGCGAAGGCUCCAAGAUGGGAUCUCGCGGAUAUAGAAGGUUGCGGCGGUGGAAAUAGUUUUUCGUGGUGCUCCUGGAUGUUUUCAGGGUAUUGAGGUAUAUAUAGGCGAAGGAGGUAGGUUCGGGGAGCCACGAGGGGCCCACGAGGGUGGGGGCGCACCCACCCCGCUAGGGCGCGCCCUCAUGCCUCGUGGCCGCCUCGACCGCUUCUUGACGUCCACUCCAAGUCUCAUGGAUUGCGUUAGUUCCAAAAAGAUCGCUCCCGAAGGUUUCAUUCCGUUUGUACUCCGUUUGAUAUUCCUUUUCUUCGAAACACUGAAAUAGGCAAAAAAACAGCAACUUGGGCUGGGCCACAAGCAAUCAAAAAAUAUAGAUACGUUGGUGACGUAUCAAGUGCCACCGGGGCCGCGACGAAGGAGGCGUCAUCGUCCUCGACGACAGCGACGACGAUGACGCACCGCCACCGCCACCGGUCCGCCAUGGUGACGCCGGGCAGGGGUCCAGCAGGGCGGCCGUGUCAAGGAGGAGAAGGCCGCUGCCGACGAUGGCGGCGAGGAUGGCGGCGACGGCGGCGACUACGACGCAUUCAGCGACUUCUUCGCCCCUUAGUUGUAGUUUCGGCCUUUUUUAGAUAAACUUGCUAUGUUAAUUGUCGAACAUGUAUAAUAUAUGCCAAGUUUGCCGAAUUUUAGCCGAGUUUAACCGAACUUUGUCCAAUGUAUUUUUAACUAAGACGGUGUCUGGGGGCGGCCCUGGGGUCGACGACUAGGAACCCACUCGCCCCCAGGCCGAUCUUUUGUGCGGGCUCGCCCCUAGGCAGCGCUUUUACGCGCCCCCUGGGGGGCUAACGGCUGGAUAUGCUCUAAGGAACAGGAAUGUCAGUGUUCUCGCCAUCGAUAAACUGAUGAUGUGCCAUAGCCUGGCGAUCUAAAUAAACCUUGGGCAAACGAUAAUCAUGUAAGCGUAUGUGAAUGUUAAAGUGACUCACUAGGCGAGUAGGAUAAAUACCACCAUGAAUUUUACCCUCUGAUCUGUUAAGGUGUAGGCAACAUGCAAUGAUAGCCCCUAGACUAUAGGUGUUGUCGCAGUAUAGUGCCCGACAUAAAAUGGCAAAGUCUGGAGCACAAAGUGCAUCGACCUUCUCCCUAGCAAUUAAGCACUUAGCUAUGAACAGAGAAAAGUAAUGCACAGAAGGAGACUGCAAACUAGUUGCAGUAACACCCGACACCCCUCUCUCAUCCCCCACUGACAGAGUACGGUAAAAACCAUCAAACUAUGGGCCUAGGCUCUCUUAAAUCCCCAUCAAAGGGAAUCACACAUAUGUGACAAAAUUCAGUAAGUGGUAUCUGAUGGGUUUUAGCAUAUAAAUUAAAUUUCACCUCAGGGGGGUUAUUCCUACUCAUAAAAUGGAAACUUGGCACAAAGGAAUUUGUGAGGAGAUGGUACUUUUCACACUCCGCUGCGAUGAAGUCAGUGAGGCCGGCAUUAGCAGCAAAUUGUGCAAACUCGUGAUGAAUUCUAGCUCCAUCCAUGAAGGGGUUGUGAGGCCGUUCGCACAGCCACACCUCCGCCAUUCUCCGGGUAUGGAGAUCAUUGUCCAAUGACUCCCCAAUAACCCCCUUGGAGUUCUUCUUGGAAGCAAACUUCCUAAAGAAACUCAUCUUUUUCAUAUGAACAAAAAUCUGAAAUUUUUAGUGCAUAAAAUUUUUCUCAACAAACUUCACAAGAUUGAUAGCAACUACUCAUGGGGAUGCAUAGAGGCCAUAUCAAGCAUUCAAACUACUUAGAACUCGAAGAAUUCAACAUGCAAGCUCAUCUACAGCAGCACCAAGAAGAACUAAUUAUUCAAAAUAUAAACCACUAAAGCAAAAACUAAUUGGACCAAUGGAGGAGUCACAUAGCAAUCCCCCAAAACAGUUUCGGAAACGGAGCUUCGAGCAAAGAGAUUGAAAUCUGCGGGUUUGUGAGCAAGAACACGAGGGAGAGAGCAAUGGUGAAUUUUUUCUGGAGGUAGGUGAUGACAUGGGCUAAAGGGAUAAGUGAGGGGCCCACGUGGGGACCACAACCCACCAGGGCACGCCUAGGCGGGUUUUGCCCACCUAGUGCACCCCCCUCUAAUGUUAUUAGCACAAAAAAUUCUUAAAUAUUAGAGAAAAAAUUGUAUUAAAUUUUCAGGGCAUUCUGAGAACUUCUAUUUUUGGGUCACUUUUUAUUGCACUGGAAAUUCAGAAAACAACCAAAACAAGGCAUUUUAUUUUAUUUAACUAAGGAAAACAAAAAGUAAAAUUAGAGAGCAGAAGGUAGUGCUUACUAACUUCAUCAACUUCAUACCUCUUAAAAAUGAUUCAUUAAUAAGGUUCAUCAAGUCUUAUUAACAACUACCUUAGAUUAGCAUGAAACCGAAGAACUUUCGUAAAACACUAAGUUACCUCAACGGGGAUAUGAAUUUCCCCAACAAUAAGUAUUUCAUAUUUCUUUUUGGCAAUAGGUAGAGGUAGUUGAAAACUUCCAAUAGUGAUUGUUGGAGAUUUUUCAAUAACAUUAAUACCAUUCACUUGGAAUUGUUUCUUUGGAAAGUAUGGCUUACCACUGAUAUGAAACAUGACCUUGCUUUUAUUGCAAUCAAUAACAACCUCUGCAGUAUUUAAAAUGGUUCUACCAAGGAUAAUCGACAUGUUGUCGUCCUCGGGCAUCUCAAGUAUAACAAAGUCAAUUAGAAUAGUAACAUUAGCAACAACAACAGGCACAUCCACACAAAUAUAGAUAGGUAUGGAAGUUGAUUUGUCAGCCAUUUGCAAAGAUAUUUUAGUAGGUGUGAGUUUAUUCAAAUCAAGUCUUUUAUAUUAGGUAAAGGCAUAACACUAACACCAGCUCCUAAAUCACACAAAGCAGUUUUCACAUAAUUUCUUUCGAUGGAUCAAGGUAUAGUUGGUAUUCUCGGAUCUCCAAGCUUUUUAGGUACUCCACUCUUAAAAGAAUAAUUAGCAAGAAUAGUGGAGUCCGGUAUUUUUGUCUUAUUGGUGAUGUCAGUGGGAAAUGACACCUAUGGGAUCACUGGAAUCCCUACUACGGUUGCAGGGCGCGGGGAUCGUGAGAAGAGCGGGACUAGUAGACAACACAAAGGGGAUUUACCCAGGUUUGGGCCGCAAAGAUGCGUAAAACCCUACGAUCAUGCUUUGGUGGAUGUAUUUAGUGUUCUUGAGUUCUUGAACUAGCUCAGGGUGCUGCUAGGUUUGAAAAGAGCCGAAUGCUUCUCCCGUGCGCCAUGGGCCUCCUUUUAUAGGCAAAAGGGGCUGCCACAGUGGCACACGGGAGGUGGAAAGUGCUACAGUGCUGUGAGAUUAUCGCUGGUAUUAUAGGACAAAGCGCAUUUAAUGCGAGGGUUAGGUGUCCCUUCACUUUAAGAGGGGCGGGAGCGAGGCCCGUCCCAUCCGUCGCCGCUCCUCCUCGCUUCGACACGCGCCCUGGCCAGCGGCGCAUGUGUAGGACCUUGAAGUAUGUCUAGAGGGGGGGGGUGAUUAGACUACUUGACCAAUUAAAAACUUAACCUUUUCCCAAUUUUAGAGUUUGGCAGAUUUUAGCUAUGUUAGGACAAGUCAAGCAAUCAUCACACAAUUCAAGCAAGCAUGCAAAGAGUAUAUGGGCAGCGAAAAUUAAAGCAUGCAACUUGCAAGAAAGUAAAGGGAAGGGUUUGGAGGAUUCAAACGCAAUUGGAGACACGGAUGUUUUUGGCGUGGUUCCGAUAGGUGGUGCUAUCGUACAUCCACGUUGAUGGAGACAUCAACCCACGAAGGGUAACGGUUGCACGAGUCCACGGAGGGCUCCACCCACGAAGGGUCCACGAAGAAGCAACCUUGUCUAUCCCACCUUGGCCAUCGCCCACGAAGGACUUGCCUCACUAGCGGUAGAUCUUCACGAAGUAGGCGAUCUCCUUGCCCUUACAAACUCCUUGGUUCAACUCAACAAUCUUGUCGGAGGCUCCCAAGUGACACCUAGCCAAUCUAGGAGACCCCACUCUCCAAGAAGUAACAAAUGGUGCGUUGAUCAUGAACUCCUUGCUCUUGUCCUUCAAAUGAUAGUCUCCCCAACACUCAACUCUCUCUCAUAGGUUUUGGAUCUGGUGGAAAGAAGAUUUGAGUGGAAAGCAACUUGGGGAAGGCUAGAGAUAAAGAUUCAUAUGGUAGGAAUGGAAUAUCUUGGCCUCAACACAUGAGUAGGUGGUUCUCUCUCAGAAAUGGUAAUUUGGAAGUGUAGGUUUAGUCUGAUGGCUCUCUCCAUGAAUGAAGAGGAGGUGGAGGGGUAUAUAUAGCCUCCACACAAAAUCUAACCGUUACACACAAUUUACCAAACUCGGUGGGACCGAUUCAACAGACUCGGUCGGACCGAUUUAGUAAACCUAGUGACCGUUAGGAUUUUCGGUGGGACUGACAUGCAACUCGGUGAGACCGAUUCGGUUAGGGUUAGGGCAUAACGUAAUCUCGGUAAGACCGAUUACACAAACUCGGUGAGACCGAUUUUGGUAAUAAGCUUUCCAGAGAGUUGGUCAGGUAAACUCGGUGGGACCGAUUUGCUCUUUUCGGUGAGACCGAAAUGUUACAAAAGGGAAACAGAGAAUUUACAUUGUAAACUCGGUGGGACCGAUCGCUCACUUCGGUUAGACCGAAAUGUUACCAAGGGAAACAGAGAGAUUACAAUCCCAUCUCGGUGAGACCGAGAUCCCUAUCGGUAAGACCGAUUUGCCUGGGGUUUGUGGUAGUGGCUAUGACAUUUGAAAUCGGUGGCGCCGGAUAGAAAGAAUCGGUGUGACCGAUUUUGGCUUUAGGUUUAUGUCAUUUGUGGAUGUGAGAAAGUAGCUGAGAGUUUUGGAGCAUAUCACUAAGCACAUGAAGCAAGAGGCUCAUUAAGCAACACCUCAUCCCUCCUUGAUAGUAUUGGCUUUUCCUAUAGACUCAAUGUGAUCUUGGAUCACUAAAAUAUAAAAUGAAGAGUCUUGAGCUUUUGAGCUUGAGUCAAUCCUUUGUCAUUAGUAUUUUGAGGGAUCCACUUUCAUCAUCCAUGCCAUGCCAUUCAUUGAGCUUUCCUGAAAUAAUAGUCUUGGAAUAGCAUUAGCUCAAUGAGCUAUAUGUUGUUAUGAAUUACCAAAACCACCUAGGGAUAGUUGCACUUUCAAUCUCCCCCUUUUUGGUAAUAAUUGAUGACAACAUAUAGAUCAAAGCUUCGACAAAUGAUAAUAAGAUUUAAAACAUCGUCGCUUUGAGAAGUAUGUGACAAGCAAGAGCUCCCCCUAAAUUUGUGCAUAGUUUAAGAUUUGCUUUGGACUGCAAAUGCACAAGGAAUUAGGCUCAUGGGUUAAUCUUGGUGGAGCGCUCAAAAUGAUAAAGAUUGAAUACAUGCACUCAUCACCAAGCAAAGUGAAAUAGGAUAGAUAGGAUAAUAUUAUCAAACAUGCAUAAGUGUAGCUUAUGACCAAACACAUGAUCAUCAAUGUCUCACAGCAUAGUAUCUCAAGCAAUCAAAAGCAAACAAGUUUAACCACCAAAUCAAGAGAGAAUAAAAGCAACACUCUCUCUCGAAGCCUAUGAUCUAUACAUUUUUCUCCCCCUUUGGCAACAAGUUACCAAAAAGUUCAUAGAAAAUGCAUAGUGCUAGAUCGACUCUCAGGCUUUAUCUUCAGUUGAAGUAGAGGGUGCUGGAGUUGAUGCUGGAGCUGGUUGCACUGGAGCAGUAGGAGCUGUAGCUGGUGCAGAUGAUGUGGCUCUGGUGUCUGUCACAAGCACUGUAGCUGACCUCUGAGCUCUAGGCACUCUGGAAAAUACAUUAGUGGUAGUCUUGCCCUGCCUCCUCAUCCUCAGAAUCUGAGGUUCUUUUCUUCCUUUGCCUGGUAGCAGCCUUAGGCAGGUUGCUAGGAGUGCUUCUGCUGCCUUCAUCUGAAGUGCUAGAGGGACUAGUGCCCUCACUCAUGUGAAUCUGCUCUUCUGACCUGUUCUGACUGUCACUCUGGUCUGACAUGAUGCAAAUCACUGACUGCUGACCCUGUGAAGAGUUAUAGAUGAGAUAGAGUGGAUGAGCAUCACAAAAUGCAGAGAUUUUUGCAAAAGAAUGAUUCAAAAAUUCAGUUUUAGUUUUCCACAGAAAGUAUUUCGGAUCAACCGAUUUUCAAACUCGGUGAUACCGAAGCAGUUUUGGAACCUAAACUGAUGAACUCGGUUGGACCGAGUCACAGUUCGGUGGCACCAAGACUGCUAGGAUUUCACAAAGUCCUAAAAUCGGUCUCACCGAUUAGCAAUUCUCGGUCAGACCGAGAGUUACUAGUGCAAUGGCAUUAGCCAAAUCGGUGGGACCGAGUUUUUCAACUCGGUGGGUCCGAGAUGGUUUCGGCGGAAACCUAACCCUAAAAUUUCGAAUCUCAUCUAAUCUACGGAUUGCAUUGACUAGAUAGGAGUGUUUCAAUCGUGGCAAGAAUAAAUAAGAACACAAUGUGCUAGGAAUCGGACAACGAUAGCACAGUGAUCAAGUCCAUACCCUAGCUUGGCGAUGAACUCGCUACGGCGGCAAUGGCGGGGUUGAAAUCUAUUGACGGCGGCGGAGACAAGCGACAGGAGGUGGCUGGCGACGAGGAGACGAUCCGGAGACCUUGGUGGCAGAGCGAGCUAUUGCGCGGGCGAAGGGGUUCGGAGAAAUUUCCAAAUUUUUGCCCGUGACUAUAUAUAUCCCGACCCUGUCUGUGUGACCGAGUGCAACAACUCGGUGGCACCGAGAUGCAUAACUGUGUACAGUUACAUCAACUCGGUGUGACUGAAAAGUUCAAAUCGGUUGCACCGAGAUUGAAAACCUAGAUCGACUUAAUGAUCUCGGUAGGACCGAAAUGGAGGAAUCGGUCAGACCAAGAAUCACAAAGAAGUUUUGGAAGUUUAAGUCUAUGACAAAUCGGGGACUCCGAGUGCUCCUCACACAGAGUGGUUCGAAUCUAACUUGAUCAAAUUUUGUGAUGUAGCAUGAAUAGAGUUUGAGACAAGAAAAGCAUAGAUAGCUAGAGAAGGUUCUUAGGCAUUCUUGUCCAUCCACUUGGCAAAAAGAAAAAGAAGCCAAUCAAUCAAAACAACAAGUGGAUGUCCUUGAAUGAGUAAAAUAUGCACCAACAUGCUCACACAAUAAGAUGGCAAAUGAAAUAUGUGGCAAAACAUGCACAACCAAUUCUAGCAUCUAUCAAACAAUUGGCGAUGACUAGGUCAUCUAUAUAUGAGUAUAUUGACUUAGGAGUCAAAUGAAAAACAUUUGAUCAUAGGUCAUACUCAUCAUUUAAGCUCAAGUGGGGUUACCACUUUUACAUAAUGCAUUGAUGUGUUCACACCAUUAGAGUUGCUUUGACACAAUUCUUAGAGUUAAGCUCCCCCUAGAUGUGAGAUCCCCUUUUAUAGGGAUGAACUAACCCUGUGUUUUGUCGAUGAUGACUUCAUGUAGGUGUUGAAGAUGUGGAUGCUCAAUGUUGAUGUAGAUCAUUUGGAGCAAUCCUUUGGAGUGAGUUGCACUUUCAACUUACCUACAUGGGUUAGUCCCACAAGGAACAAACAAGAAUAUCCAUAGACAUAGAGUGAUGCACACACAAGAUGAUGUCCAUGAAAUCAUCAGGUUACCUUGUCCCUUGCCUUACCAACAUGAGGGUUUGUGACUCCUUGAACUAGUGCAAGAUGUGGAAGUUGAUUGCACUUGUUCUUGCCAUAAUGAUAUGAGUGAAGAAUGUUGGCGGAGUCACCCUCAAGAACUUUCUAGUUCUUCUUCUUCGGGAUCCACAUCAUCUUGAUGGGAAUCCUUGGAGUUGUAGUUGUACUUGAUGAAGUAGAACUUGACGUAGUCUUUGGAACCCACUUGAACGAGGCCUUAGGUGCUUCUUCAAAUGCAUCAAUCUCUUCUUGAAGCUUGUCCUUGCCUUUGUUCUUGUGGUAUUGUGGUGGAAGAUCAUCUUGUGCUUGUGUUCCCUUGAAGGAAGUAGGAUCAUACUUCUCUUGUUGAGGAACAAACUUCGUCUUGGGGUAUUGAUCUUCUUCCCACUCAACUCCAUUGGCAUUGAACUUUCAUUCAAAACCAACACCUUGGUUCUUCCGGUGCCUUCCUUGCUUGCGUACAAUUUCCUGAAUUGCUUACUCCCGACAAGGCUCUCGUAAACACCUUUCUCUAUAAUUCCCUUCAAUAAGCUAUUUUCUUGCUCAAGUGUAACUUGGCUAAGAGAAUCAUUAGUGGAAUUAAGAGAACUACUAGAAGCAACAAUAUUGGAUUUGACAUUAUUAUUGUUACUACUAGAGGAAGUAUCUUUUUUGUACUUGUUACUAGACUUGACUUGAGGCAUGUAAGUAGAUAAGAGUAAACGCUUGGCAAUGUAAGAAGAACUUUUCUUACGGAGAUCAUCAUUGAUUGCUUUUAAGAACUCAUGCUCUUGCUCAAGAUUGAGCUUUUCAAAGUGUAACUUCUCAUGAGGCCUUAAAAGUUCUCGAUGAUCUUCGAAGAUAGUUUCAUGAGCUAACUUAAGAGUGUUUAGUUCUUUAGUUAGAAGCUCAAUAUUCUCCUUAUCAUUGUCGUUCGUUUUAUCUUGAUUAGCAUGAUUAAUUGACGUUUCAUCAUAGUAUCCAUCACUAGAGUUGUCAAAAAGUAAAUCAUCAUCCACAAGCAAGUCAUCUUCAUCACUAUCGAAAUCAACAUACUCAGGAUGUGUUACCUUUGGACCUUUGGCCAUGAAGCAUCUUCCAAUUCCUUCAUUUGGUGAAUCAAAUAUGUCGUAGGAGUUGGUUGACACAAGUGCUAGACCGGCAACACCUUCAUCUUGAGUAUAUUCAGAGUCGGAGUGAUAGCUUCUCUCGGAGUGAUUGUCGGAGUCGGAUACCAAUUCACCAACAUGAGCUUGAUGUCUUCGUUUUGUGUAGAUCCUUGAUGACUUGUCCUUCCUUUCGGAAUCCUUGAUUCUCCGUGAGGGUCUUCGUUCAUAAUGAUCAUCUCUACUCCUCCUCUCUCUCGAUGGUGAUUCUUCUCUUUUGCUUCUUCUUUUUGGAGAAUCUUCUCUUCUUUUUUUGGGUGUCGUACACUCAUUGGAAUAGUGUCCAGGUCUCCCACAAUUGUAGCAAUUGCACUCUCGACGAGAAGAUCUUUUGUCAUUGUAAUACCUUGACUUGGAGCUUCUUUUGUUUGCUUCUACUCUUGUAGAAUUUGUUGAAGUUCUUCACCAUUAAGCUCAAUUCUUCAUUGAAGGUUUGUUUCUAACUUGAUGAUGUGGGGGCUUCACUUGAGGCUUUGUAAGCACCACUUGACUUGUUGUGAAGUUCCUCCUUAUCCUUGAGUGACAUCUCAUGAGCAACAAUUCUUCCAGUGACCCGUUGGCUUGAGAUCUUUGUAGUUUGGCAUCAUUUGGAUCAAUGUGCACACGGUAUCAUACUUUCCAUCCAAUGCUCUUAGGAUCUUCCUGAUGAUGAAUCUGUCGGUCAUCUCUUCACUCCCUAAGCCGACAAUCUCAUUUGUGAUAAGAGCAAGCAUAGAGUACAUUUCAGCGACACCUUCACCAUCCUUCAUUUUGAACUUGUCAAGCUGACUUUGGAGCACAUCCAACUUGGAUUCCUUGACGGAUUUGGUACCUUAAUGCAUAUCAAUCAAAGUAUCCCAAAUUUCCUUUGCAUUCUCAAGACGACUGAUUUUGUUGAAUUCAUCGGGGCACAAUCCGUGGAAGAUGAUAUCACAAGCUUGAGCGUUGUAUUGCAGCAUCUUCAAUUCUUCCGCAUUAGCUUCACGGUUUGGCUCUCUCCCGUCAAAGAAUUCACCUUGCAAGCCAAUACAAAUAAUUGCCCAAAUGGCGGGGUUAUGUAUGAUAAUAUGCAUUUUCAUCUUAUGCUUCCAACUAGCAAAAUUAGUACCAUCAAAGUAAGGAACUCUAGGGCGAUAAUUUCCCUCGCUAGACGCCAUACUCUCCUAGGUUGUGAAACCAAGGCUAUGACCACAAAAUGCUAUGGAAAUCAAAGAAAAUGGAGACCAAAGCUCUGAUACCACUUGUAGGACCUUGAAGUAUGUCUAGAGGGGGGUGAUUAGACUACUUGACCAAUUAAAAACUUAACCUUUUCCCAAUUUUAGAGUUUGGCAAAUUUUAGCUAUCUUAGGACAAGUCAAGCAAUCAUCACACAAUUCAAGCAAGCAUGCAAAGAGUAUAUGGGCAGUGGAAAUUAAAGCAUGCAACUUGCAAGAAAGUAAAGGGAAGGGUUUGGAGGAUUCAAACACAAUUGGAGACACAGAUAUUUUUGGCGUGGUUCCGAUAGGUGGUGCUAUCGUACAUCCACGUUGGUGGAGACUUCAACCCACGAAGGGUAACGGUUGCACGAGUCCACGGAGGGCUCCACCCAUGAAGGGUCCACAAAGAAGCAACCUUGUCUAUCCCACCAUGGUCGUCGCCCACGAAGAACUUGCCUCACUAGCGGUAGAUCUUCACAAAGUAGGCGAUCUCCUUGCCCUUACAAACUCCUUAGUUCAACUCCACAAUCUUGUAGGAGGCUCCCAAGUGACACCUAGCCAAUCUAUGAGACACCACUCUCCAAGAAGUAACAAAUGGUGCGUUGAUGAUGAACUCCUUGAUCUUGUGCUUCAAAUGAUAGUCUCCCCAACACUCAACUCUCUCUCUCUCAUAGGUUUUGGAUCUGGUGGAAAGAAGAUUUGAGUGGAAAGCAACUUGGGGAAGGCUAGAGAUCAAGAUUCAUAUGGUAGGAAUGGAAUAUCUUGGCUUCAACACAUGAGAAGGUGGUUCUCUCUCAGAAAUGGUAAUUUGGAAGUGUAGGUUUAGUCUGAUGGCUCUCUCCAUGAAUGAAGAGGAGGUGGAGGGGUAUAUAUAGCCUCCACACAAAAUCUAACCAUUACACACAAUUUACCAAACUCGAUGGGACCGAUUCAACAGACUCGGUCGGACCGAUUUAGUAAACCUAGUGACCGUUAGGAUUUUCGGUAGGACUGACAUGCAACUCGGUGAGACCGAUUCGGUUAGGGUUAGGGCAUAACGUAAUCUCGGUAAGACCGAUUACACAAACUCGGUGAGACCGAUUUUGGUAAUAAGCUUUCCAGAGAGUUGGUCAGGUAAACUCGGUGGGACCAAUUUGCUCUUUUCGGUGAGACCGAAAUGUUACAAAAGGGAAACAGAGAAUUUACAUUGUAAUCUCGGUGGGACCGAUCGCUCACUUUGGUUAGACCGAAACAUUACGAAGGGAAACAGAGAGAUUACAAUCCCAUCUCGGUGAGACCGAGAUCCCUAUCGGUAAGACCGAUUUGCCUGGGGUUUGUGGCAGUGGCUAUGACAUUUGAAAUCGGUGGCGCCGGAUAGAAAGAAUCGGUGUGACCGAUUUUGGCUUUAGGUUUAUGUCAUUUGUGGAUGUGAGAAAGUAGCUGAGGGUUUUGGAGCAUAUCACUAAGCACAUGAAGCAAGAGGCUCAUUAAGCAACACCUCAUCCCUCCUUGAUAGUAUUGGCUUUUCCUAUAGACUCAAUGUGAUCUUGGAUCCCUAAAAUAUAAAAUGAAGAGUCUUGAGCUUUUGAGCUUGAGCCAAUCCUUUGUCAUUAGUAUUUUGAGGGAUCCACUUUCGUCAUCCAUGCCAUGCCAUUCAUUGAGCUUUCCUGAAAUAAUAGUCUUGGAAUAGCAUUAGCUCAAUGAGCUAUAUGUUGUUAUGAAUUACCAAAACCACCUAGGGAUAGUUGCACUUUCAGCAUGCUGUGCCAUGUAGGCAGGCAGGCAGCUGAGGUGGCGCGAUGGUGGAGCCUCCACGAAGGGCUGCAUGUUGCCACGCAGGUGCCUGCCCAGCUGGUUGGGUCGACAGCUGCAUGAGAACAGCGGCAGAGACUUGGCUGGUGUGGACCUGGCAGUGGCCCUGCUGGCGCGUUUGGCGAGGGCCUUGCCGGGUGGCCCGGCAAGGGUCUUGCCGUGGCGCGCUGGCAUCCCCGGCAAGGAUCUUGCCGGGGGUCUUGUGGGUUCCUUUGGUGAGGAUCUUGGCGAGGAUUGUUGCCUCCCUAUCCUCAUUUGAUCUUGAGCAUUCUAUGUCUUCAGAAAGAUCUGCAUGCCACCACGGAGGUGCCUCCUGAGCCCUGUCCCAAUGUGUUUGUCUAGCGUUGCUGGGCUCAAAGGUGAUUCGCUCGGCUGGUGGGGGCGAGCUCCCCCGGCAUGGGCCUUGCCGGGGCCGCUGAUGUUGCCCCGGCAAGAGUCCUUGCCGGGGAAACCUUCUUCGUCCAUCCGAUCUUUGUGGCUUUGGUCCUUGUUGUUGCCUUGUUUGUCUUGUGCCUUCGGCUUCUCUCUGGCUUCCCUUUCCUUCCCUGUUAUGCAUGGCCGUGGCGGGUGGCUCUGACUUCCCGUGCACAAGUAAAGGGUUCAAAAGGAGAGCCCCUACUUCUGUACACCGACAGGAGCCCCUGGGCCUGGGCCAUACAUGAGCGUAGUAUGUUGUUGGGCCAGGCCCAGAACGGUGUGCAGGCAGUUGGGGCGGAUCUUACCGCAGUAACUGCUCCGUCCGCUGCGCUUCUCCAUGACCCACGUUGAACGCGCGACGUGGGGGUCGUGUGCGCGCGCGUGACGUGGGAGGCAUGCGUGGGACAGCAUUCGCACGCAUGCGUCGCAUCGCAGUUAAUGGGAAAGGAGGCGACCCGCGCCUUCUCCAUAAAAAGGAAUAACCACGGGAGCGCUGCUCACUUUACCCCCCCCCCUCUUCCGUCUUUCUCCAAUCUCAUAACCGCCGCCCCCUUUCUUCCUUCUUCUCGAGCCUCUCUGCUUUCGUCCAUCGCCGUCGUGCCUCUGCCAUCCCCUGCUCUCUCGUUUCCCGCAAGCGCCAUGGCACCUAAUUAAGUCCACCAAGAGCAAGGGAGUGGCGAAGGACUUCGGGGUGUCGGAGCAGCCGGAGACCGAGUUGGUGGCGUGAUGGGCGCAGUCCAACUACUUCCCCCCGAUGGUCGGCGUGCCCGAGCUCCGGGAGAUGUUCAAGGACCUAUGGGGAGUGAAGACGGGGGGAGAGAAGACGGGGCAUCGAGCCACGCACGUCAUCCCUACCAGCGCUGAUCCCUCCCCAAAUCGGUACCCCUUUCAUCGUCGACUAUUUCUCCUACGGGCUCUGUCCCCCCUUUUCUGAUUUCUUCAAGGAUAUCAUGCACACCUACGACUUCCGCCUCUUGGAUUCCACCCCAAAUGCUGUGGCGUGCAUGGCUCUCUUCGCACAACUCUGUGAGGGCUUCGUCGGUGUACACCCCAGCACGACGCUCUUCCGCCAUUACUUCUCCCCUCGGAUUCAGAAGGGGGCCUCCAUCGCUGGCUGCGUCGCCUGGAUCCUGAGGGCCAAGGGGGUGUAUCCGGACAGUGCCACGAAGGAGAGGUGGGAAGAAUGGCGGGGCUGGUGGUGCUGGAUUGAGGAGGAGGACCUGCCGGCAUUCUGCGAGGUUCGCUAGAAGCCGGCGGUCCACGGGGGCGAUUGGGGUGACAUUGACGCUGACGACGUGAAGCUUACGAUCGCCACCACCAGGAUUCUUCGGCUCACCCAGGUUGGGCUCACCCUCUAAAUGAUCGGGGCGGUCUUCAUCCGCCGCUGAAUUGCUCCUCUGCACGACAAGGGGAGGCCGGCCUGGCUCUUCGUGAACGCCGCCGACAUCAUGAGGCUCCACCCCGGUCUCGACAACAACCUGACGGUGUUGAGGCACACCCAUCUCUGCCAACGGAUCUUCCAGCUCGAGGUUGACGACGAGGGCAAGGUCGAGCGGUCCGGCAAGCUUGCCAGGGCCGCCGCGAAGGCCGACAAGGUUGACAAGGAGCCCGUUUUCAAGCUGCCGGCGGGAGUGGUCCUACUGAGCAACAACUCUCGCUGGAACGAGAUCAUUGCCAUGAUGCCGCUCUUCAACGCACAUGGCCUUGACCCGAACUGGGUUGAGCCAGACGGGCUCACGGUGUAGGAGUUCUUCAACACCUUGCAUGAGGUGUAUGUCACCGCCGAGCCGCGGCUUAUCCAGGACACUUCUCCGGCGGAGCUGGACUAUAUCGCCGCCUGGGUGGAGGAGGCAAGGCAUGCCGAGGAGGAGGCAAAGCUCGUCAAGGAGGCCGGCAGCGCCGGCGGCGUGGUGGACAAGGCUGCAGCGGAGGCAGAGGAGGGGGAGCUCGCCCGGUGGACAGCAACCGCUGGGGAGGCCAGCGGCGCCGACACCGGGGCUCCCCUCAUUGAAGACGCCGCCGACGGUUCGUCCGAGGAGGAGGGCGAGGAGGAGAGGACUACGACUAUCGAUCCCCCGAUCACUGGAAAAAAGGCAGGUCCUGCGGCGGGCCACCUCCGGCAAGCCGGUCCGCCUCGACUGGGCCGUGCAGCUGCAGCAAGCCCAGGAAGCGCCUGUGCGCCAGACGAGGGCGGUGGCGAUGAAGAAGAAGACGAAAGCCGUGGCGUCGAAGAAGAAGGCAUCUGCUCCUUCAUCGUCCAAGCGCGGCCGGAUGCCUUGCCUCCCCCCUCGCCGGCAAACAUUGGCGCGGGGAUUGUGUUUGACUUCAUGCCUCUCAGCCUGGAGAGAGAGAGCCUGGGCCUCUCAGCCCGGAAAGAAAAAGGAAAGCAACAGAGGAGGAGGAUGAGGAGAACGAAGAGUAAGCUUCUGCUUUCCUCCCUCAUUCCUUACACUUCCCUUGAUGGCGUUGCUCACUUGUCUUCAUCUUGCAGGGAUGUGGAGAUGCUGGCCCAGAGGAUAAAGAGGGCCAGGAUUUCGGCGAGUGGCCAGCCCCUGGCAGGCACCUCCAGUACGCCACUGGUGGUGUCGAGCAGCCCGGACAGCAGCCCCCAGCCGAGCCCCCAGCGUGAGUCCAUCACCCGCCCUCUAUCAACGUGCGUCAUGCGUGAUGCUUUAGUGUUAACCGUGUCGUGGAUGCAGGAGAGGAGCAGCAACAAAAGUAGCCACAGAGGGCUUCUCCGAUCGUGCCGCCUCCGUCAACUACACCGCCCCAAGGGGCGUCCCCGGCAAGGGCACCAAGCAUCGAGGCCGUGCACACGGAGGAGGGGAGGAGAACGCAGGCGCCGGUGGCUUUGCCUCGACGCCAGACCUUGGCGGAGAAGGGGCUUCCGCCUCUCGGGCCGGCACGGGUAAGCCGCUCGCUCUCCACUUCCGCUUGUGUUCUGUCUUUCCUUUGUUUCUUACUGGCUUUCGAUCUUGGCUCCGCCUUGUCUCCUUCUUGGCAUCCAGGCCCCUCCUCGGUAGGCUCAGAGGACGUCGACACCGCCAUUAAGGACAUUGCCGCGGAUGCCGCGGCAGAGGCGGAGAAGAUUGCUGCCGAGGAGAGCACCGAGGGCGCCGCUGAGGACGCCGCCAAGGGGCCCGCCGAAGAGCCCGGUAAGGGGCCUGCCGGCGAGGCCGACAAGGCCAUUGCCUAGGAGGUGGCAUUUGACGACCUGCCUUCCUCCUCUGCUGCCUCCGGCCCCGGCAGGUACCUGAAGGUAAGUGACGACCUUUUCGUCCAUCUCCUUGGUGCGUCGAGCACUAGGGCUCCCUUUGAGGGAGAGGUUUUUGACGAGGAGGUGCUUGCCGCCACCGGGUUUGAGGUUGUCGAUGAGCCGAGCGUCGAUGGCGCCGGCUCCCAGGAGGAGCGGCUGCUCCAAGCCAUGGGUGCCAGCUUCCGGAAGCUUUAGGCGCUCCACCGCGCCCGCCUGGACAAGGCCAAGUCCAGGACGGCAGUGGAGGAGAAGGCGGAGGAGGACUUCGAGGGGCGCGUAGCCGAGGCGCAAGACUGGUUCCGCCAGGCCCAGGACAAACUGAAGGCUGCCCAGGGCGAGCUGGCCAACCGUGAGGUGGAGCUCGCCCUGAAGCUGGCUGACGUCCAGAAGGCCCAGGAGACGGCAAAGAGAUUGGUCGAUGAAGCCGAAGGCACCCGGAGCUAGCACGAGGCCGCCCUGAAGACCCAAGUAGAGGACCUUGCCACGCACGAGGAGAAACUUGCCGCCACACUCCACGGCAAGGACGAAGAGGUGGGCAAGCUCGUCCUGCAACGGACCCAAGAGCUGGAGCAGAGGCAUCAGGAAGCACUCAACGCCCAGGCUCAGGCCCAUGCCGGCAGGGUGAAAGAGCUGGAGGGGCAAGCUCUGAAGCUGACCCAGGAGAAGAAAACACUCAA